GACCACUCUUGCCAAGAAAAUAUAUCGUCAAAGCCAAGUUGUUGGUCAUUUCGAGCACUUGGCUUGGGCAUUUGUUUCUCAAAACUGUCAAAUAAGAAAAAUUUGGGAAGACAUUCUAUCUGAUCUCAACAUCUUAACAGAAGUUGACAAGAAGAUGAAGGUUGAAAAACUAGCAGAGAAGUUAUCUAGUUUCUUGGAGGAAAACAAAUGUUUGGUGAUACUCGAUGAUAUUUGGAACACCAAAGCUUGGGAUAGCUUAAAACCAGCAUUUUCAGCAAGAGAGACGAAAAGCAAGAUCUUACUCACCUCUCGGAACAAGGAGAUAGUUGCACACGCCGACAAAAAUGGUUUCUUAUAUGAGUUGCAGGAACUAGACUACAAUCAGAGCUGGGAACUAUUUCAAAAGAUUGCCUUCCCCCAAUCAAAUUCUCCAGGUAAUAUGUUUACUGAUUUCAUAAUCGCAAUAUUAUUCUAUCUUAAUAUAUAUUGCAACAUUUGCUCUACAUUCUAUUUUUUUUGUUUGGCUAAAAGAAUUUUAUAUUUUAAAAUGGCAUAAUAAUUUAUUUUACUCACCAACUUUAUAAAAAAAUUUAUUUUAACCAUUUAUUUAUUACUUUUUUAGCCAUCCAUUUUAGACAUACACAUGACCGUCCACGUAUGUCAGUAAUUAAUUAAUUAUUUUUAAUUAAAAAUAUUAAAAUAUAUAUUUAUAUUUUUUUAAGAAUUUUAAGAAUAAUUAAUUUUUAAAAAAUAUUUUUUAUAAUUUAUUUGAAUUUUUAAAAUUUUAAAAAUUAAUUAAUUGCUUACAUGACAUCCACUUGUAUGUCAAUUCAAUAAAGUUAAUAUAUGUUUAGUCAUCAUUCUUCUCAAUUUUUUUUCGUGUUUAUGUCUUGCCCCCAAAAGCUUUCCAGAGUUUGUUAAUUGAUUUAUUGUAUGAAUUUUGUAAUCUUUUAUGAUAAAUUUGAUCAUAGUUUAUUUUGGUAAACUUAUAUAAAGUAGUAUCUGAAUAUUAAAUUUAUGAAAAAUAAAUUUAAAUAAUCUUAGUAAUACAAAUUGAGCAAUUAAUUUAUUUUGAUCAUAUUACUAAAUUCACAUCUAAAAAAAUUGAAGUAAACUAGAAGUUAAGAUAAUUUAUUUUACUUCAAUAGAUUUAUUACUUGAAUGUAAUUCUAAGCAUAAAAUAUAGAAAAAAAAGUUGUGAUAAUUGUAAUUAUUAUUAGUUAAAAAUUUGAUGUAAAAAAGAAGGUAAGUUAAUUUUAUUAAUAAAAAUAGAGUUGUUACUUGAUAAAAUUUUAAGCAUCUUAACAACCACUUAAUUAAUAUUAGAGUUAAUUAUAUUCAUUAGUUUUUAUGUUGAAUAAUGUUUUUUUGCAUUAAUUACAUAAAAUAAAACUAUAUUGUAUGUUGAAUAUGUUAAGAAUAUUUUAAUUAUGAUUUGAAAAUUUUAUAUUAUAAUAUUUAAAUUAAUAAUUUUAUAUAUUUUAAUUAUAUUCAAUAUUUCAUACAAGAAAUAUUAUUUUAUGUUAAUUACCGCAACUAAAAAUAAAAUAUUUUAAAAUUUUAAUUAAAUAGUAAACAUAUAAAAUCUCAUGCAACCCAUAUGAUAAUAGAAGUUAAUAUAAUAAAAUUUGUAAAAUUUUAGCAUAAUUAUUUCAUUUUCAUGAAGUUGGUUAAAUUUGGAUAACUUUUUGUACAAAUAAAAAUACUAUAAAACCAGGUGUUUCAAUGUCAUAAAUCAAUUGUAGGGAUUUACUAAAUUAAAUUAACUUUCAUUCGUAUGAUUCGUUACAGAAAUACAUAUUACAAGGAGAAAUCAUAACACCACAACACAUUUGUAAAGAAUUAUAAAUCAAUUGUAGGAAUCACAUGCAAGAAAUCACUUGUCAAAAACCAUUUUAUUUAUUUUUAAUAACUUUUAAAAUUGUUAAAUUGGUGGUAAUAUUGUGGUUUAAUUUAUCGGCAACUUGCAUUGCAUAUUGCUUCACUAAUUAUUUGAAAUUCUUGAGUAUGUUAAUAUUGUGGUAAAUUAUUAAACUGUUAUCACUGAUUUUUUUGAAACUUUGUUUUGGUAUCCUACAGGCUAUAAAAUUGAUGCGAAAAUGAAGGAGUUGGGAGAGGACAUGGUUAAACACUGUGCAGGGCUUCCAUUAGCCAUCAUUAUAUUGGGAGGAAUUUUGGCUACAAAGUAUCCUUCAUUAACUGAAUGGCUGAGGGUAUCUGCAAAUGUGAAAUCAUACUUGAACAACGAUAAAGGUGAAGUACUGAGAGAUGUGUUGGCAUUAAGUUAUGAUGAUUUGCCUCCCUAUUUAAGACCAUGUUUUCUUUAUUUAAGCCACUUUCCAGAAGAUUAUGAGAUAUCUGCGGAUAGAUUGAUUCAGUUAUGGGUUGCCGAAGGUAUUGUUUCAUCAAAGCAAGAAGAAGGAGAUGAUGGGCAAAUAGCGGAAGAUGUGGCUGAAGGUUAUUUGCUGGAGCUUGCAGAAAGAUGUAUGAUUCAAGUACGAGAAAGAGACAUUGCAACCUUAAAGAUAAGAAGUUUUCAGAUGCAUGAUCUAAUGAGAGAUGUUUGCUUGUCCAAGGCAAAACAACAAAAAUUCCUCUAUAUCGCAGAUCAGUCAAAUGAGUGCCAGUUAUCCACUAUUGGGAGGGUUCGCAGAGUUUCUGCUCACAAAUUUAUUCCCUUACAGUGCAUUAAAAGUCCACGUCUUCGAUCACUUUUGCUUUUCGAUGAGCUUUUACCGAACGAAGAACAGGAAAAUAUUUUGCCAUUGACAAUGCGAAGCUACUUCGAGAACCACGAAUAUGAUCCUGACAAUCCACUUUUUUGCUUUGUGGCACUUUUAAUGCUUAGCGUGUUAGUUACUAAAUUUAGGGGAAUUUGGAAAUAUAUGUUCAAUAAUUUUAAUUUUCUUAGAGUCUUAGAUUACGAAAGAGGAGAUGCAGGGUGCAAGUUACCCAAUGACAUUGGUAAACUCAUCCAUUUAAGAUUCUUGAGAUUAAGGGGUCUGUACUUCUUGAGUUCAAAGUUGCCAUCAUCUCUAGGCAACUUAAGGUGCUUGCAAACAUUGGAUUUAAGAAUCAAAAGCGAAUGUUCAAACUCUAUUCAUGUACCUAACGUGUUAUGGAGGAUGCAGCAACUAAGGCAUCUAUAUCUCCCCAAGCGAUGUAGUCCUAAAACAAAAUUGAAGUUGGGUACAUUGAGAAGCCUCCAAACACUUGUCAACUUCAACACCAAGAGUUGUUAUAUAAAGGAUCUUAUCAGCAUGACAAAUAUUAGAGAGUUGGAAAUUCGAGGGCCCUUCAAUAUUGAAGACUUUAACACGGAGGAGUUGGGCAAGAAUCCACUCAUCGUCCAAAGUAAAUAUCUUCAUUCCUUGUCUAUCAUCAAUUAUGAAGAAGGAAUAGAUACAAGACAUUUGGCACACCUCCUUUCAAGUUGUGAUAGCAUUUCUAAGUUGAGCUUAGAUGCGGAGAUAAGAAGGUUACCAGAGUACCACUACUUGUCUUCAAAUCUCGCUUACAUAAAGUUGAGAAGGUGUAUGCUUGAGGAAGAUCCAAUGCCAACACUUGCGAAACUGCCUUACUUAAGUAUGCUUGAAUUACAUGAAGAGGCUUUCAUAGGAAAGGAAAUGUUUUGCUGUGGACAAGCUUUUGCUAAACUUGAGUCUCUAAGCCUUAAGGAGCUGGACUUUCUGGAGGAGUGGAAAGUGAGUGAAGGAGCCAUGCCUUGUCUUCGGCGAUUGGAGAUAGAGAACUGCAGACAACUAAAAAAGCUUCCAGAUGGACUGAGGUUCAUUGCAACCCUUCAAGAACUGAAGAUUGAAUCAAUGCCAAAGACAUUCAAAGAUAAAGUGGAGGAAGGGGAAGAUUUCUGCAAAGUCCAACAUGUUCCUUCUAUCAUAUUCCAAAAUUGCGAGGGGUAGUAAUCAUGAUUAAUGCCAGGCAAUUCAUAAUCUUUGCUUUAGGAAAUACUUAACCCAUUUGUUUAUACAUAAAAAUCCACAACUAUUUUGCAUGUUUAUACAUCAUAUUGACAUUUUUUAAUAUUUCCUCUUCAGGUAUUGAAGCCAUUGCCAUUUUUUUUAUUCUGUUGCUGCUCUUCAUGGGACCAAAUAUAUGUAAAAAAGUUGUAACAGUACUGUGUGAAAUUGUGUACGUGGAGUGAAAUUUUUUGUAUUGUAAAAUUAGAGAUUGGGGGCUUUUUUUUUUUUUUGUUAUAAAUUUCAAAAUUGUAAGGUGCAAAAUUAUGAAAAGCUUUUUAGGUAACUUCUAUUAUACUGUACAUCCCUUGCUUAAAAAUUUUAAAAUUUUAAUAUGAUAAUAAUAUCAUAGUGUGAUGCAAUAAUUCAAUUUUUAAGUAAAUGAAUUUAAAGGUAACAAUAAUUAAAAAAAGCAUGGUAAGUAUGUGAUUGAAUUAGUGCCUUUAAUCAACUCGAUAUCAAUUCAGUUAAUGAAUUUUUAAAAAUAACCUUACAUAUUUUAAAUAAGUUACGGGUGAUGCGUAUUCGGUAAAUGUACUUUCAUAAAAUAUCCAAUGUGAUACCUAUACUUUGAAAAUGUUCAAUGUGGUCCUAAAUUAUUAAUGCGUUUUGUUAUGGUACCUAAUGUUAACUGUGCUACUGAAUUGCUAAACUAGCAAAUGAAAAUUCGACACGUAAAGUUAUUUUAAAAUCUAUGUGGAUAAUAUAAUGUCAUGUGAAAAGCUAAAUAAAUAAAAGAAUAAAUUAAAUUAAAAGCAAAUAACUAAGGAUAUAUGGUUUAUAAAAAGAAAUAAAUACUAAACUUACAUAAGCGAAAUAUCAUUUUUGCCAAAGAGUUUUCCAUUUGAAAUAAUAUUUUUAAUUAAUUUUUAACUAAUAUUUUUUAUAGGCAUGAUGGCUUAGCCCUCCAACUUUAUAGAAAAAGUCAUUUUAGCCAUCCAUUUAAUUUUUUUAACCUUUCUUAUCCCUUAAACUUGCGUUGUUUGUCAAAUCAUCCAAAAUAGAUAGAAAAUUUAAUGUUUGUUAACUUCGUUGAUGUGGCAUACACAUGGAUUGACACGUGAAUUUUACGUAAGCAAAUAAUUAAUUUUUAAUAUUUUUAAAAAUUAAAAAUUAUUGAAAUUAAUAAAAAUAUAAAAAUAUUUUUAGAAAAAUAAUAAUUAGUUGCAAAUGUAGCAUAUAUGUGAUACUCCAUAUGUAUUCCAUGUCAACAAGGUUAACAAACAUUAAUUUUUCCAUCCACUUUGGGGUGAUUUGACAAACAAUAACUUUCCAUCUAGAAAAGAAUAACUUCAAAAUCAUUUCUUCCUAAGCACCCAAGCACCGAAAUAUAAAAUCAAACAAUAAAUCGUGAAAUGGAUGUGAGAAAACGGGGUGACCUUGGAAGGAUCAACUUUGGGGAAGCUUUUGACAACGUCGAGGACUCUGUCAAUUACUUCUUCUUUAGUAAGGUGAUCGUCGUGCGAUGAGAAUAGCAGGAGGAGACUCCAGUGCGACGGAGCUCUUGAAGCAGUUGGCGUUAGGGUUUGAACAGGCAAUCGAAUGUGGCGAAGUACAGUGUCUCUUAAACGGCUUCUGUUUGAUGUUGGGAGGGAGCGGGUGAAGGUUGCUUUUGGGUUGGGAGGUAAAACAGGGUAGUAAUAGCUAAUCGGUGCUUUUGGAAGGGAAUGGAAAUCUCCCAAAAAGCAGAUGAUUUUGGGAAUACACCCGUAAUGUAAUAAGCCUGUAAUAGAGCAUUACACCCAACCAAACAUAUGAUUAAGUGAGGCCCACGGAAUAUGGGUGUAAUGGCUAUGCUAUUACACCCAACCAAACAUGCUGUAAGUUUAAGGACUGAAAGAGACCAAAAAGAGUUAAAUUGAAGCCUAAAAUAACCUUUUUUUGUAAAGUUGAAGAGUCAAAAAAGUUAUUAUACAUUUUUAUUAUCCACGUAAGUACUGGUUCGUUCUUGGAAAUUUAAUAUUUACUUCUUUUUUAUUAACCAUAUGUUUAGUUAUUUGUUUUUAAAUAAAAACAAACUAAAAAAUUCUAAAAAAAUUCUAAGUUUUUUUAAAAGUUUUCUAAAAAAAGAAUUAAAAAACUUAAUAGCUUGGAAAAAUUUAGAAGAAAGACACUAGAAUAUAAAUAAAACAAUUAGGUUUUAAAUAAUUAUUUUUUAAAAUUUUUAUUUGCAUAAAAUCUUCUAUUUUUUAAUUUUUUAAUUAUUUUUAAUUGUUUUGCUAACGUAACAUAUAAGAUAAAAUAAGGACACAUCCACAAUUAUGCAAUGUAGAGUGGCAUGUCAACACAUGCCAUUGACUAUUAGUCAACUAAUGGACACAUUAUCAAUUCUGUCAGAAAAUGAUCAAUUAGAUAAAAAAAAAAAACAAAACCAUGAGGAUUAAAGUGCUCAAAGAAAAAAGAAUAAGGGCUAAUGACUAACUAGGAAAAUAUUAGGGACUAUUUUUAGCAUUAUACCUUUUAAAUUCAUGGAGGAAAAAUUUUGCUGUAAUUUUAAAUUUUUAUCAAAAUUAUGCAAUCAUAUUUGGUUCUUGAUGGUACUACGUUUUUAGUUUUGGAUCUAUAAUUUGAUUGGUUCUUUUCCAUCUUCUUCUGUCUUUUUAAUUCAAGCGAUUUGAUUUUGUUUUCCAGAGUAUUUGAUCCAUAAAAGUAUCACAUGUACUAUAUUUUGAAUUAUAUUUUAGUUUUUCUAUGAAAAAAACGGAUGAGUUGACCCCUAUAUCUUACAUGAGUUAAAAAAAUAGUCCUUCCGUUAAAAUUUGUUUUUAUAUAUAAGAUAUAAUAAUAAAUUUAACCCCUAACUUUUAUACAUUUGUUCAAUUUGACCCCUAUUCUUUUAUUGGAAGUAAAUUAAAAAACUCUGAAACUAAUAAGACUAAAAAGUUAAAAUGGCUUUAGUAGCAAAUUAAAAAAAAAUCAAUUAAGCCAUUUUAAAAUUUAAAAAUUAUUUAAAAAUUCAUAAAAAUUAUAAAUAUAGUGUUAUAAAAGUUUUAAAAUUAUAAAAUGUUUAUUAAAAAUAAGAAUGCCAAUCCAUUAAAUCUAAUAGUUAUAAGAUUUUUCAAAAAUGACCCCUACUCUUUUAUUGAGCCAGUAUUGUUGUUUAUUAAAAAAUAAUAAAAUUAUAUAUUUUUAAUAAUUUUUAAAUUUUAAAAGGUUUAAUUCAUUUUUAAAAUUUUUUACUAAGGCCUUUUGACCCUUUAGUUUUAUUAGUUUCAAAAUUUUCUAAUUUACUUCUAAUAAAAGAGUAGGGUCAAAUUGAAUAAAUUUGUAAAUGUUAAGAGCUAAAUUUUCUAUUAUACCUUAUAUAUACACUCCAAAAUUUAGCGAAAGAUCUCACCUAGGGAAGCUAAUACCUUAUAUAUAGUUGAGAAAAUUUGGUGAUACUUUUAAGAUAAAACAAAAAAUUUCAGCUAAUAGAAACGUGUUUUUUCCCCUAAGACCUAAAAGUUUACCUAGUUCCGAAGCUUCUAUAGCCUCUUCAAAAUUACAUUCUUACCAUUCUUGAAAUCAGAAACCAAAAGCGAUUCAAUGACAAAUUUCUUUAACGAUGUAGUACAAGUCAAUAAUCUAGAAUGUCCCUUUCUUUUCCAUUGCCCAUCUUCUUCUUUUUUCCUCCUUAAGCUCACAAUUUCGUCAUCAUCGAAAUCAUAGAUGCUUCUUACUUUCCUGUUAUUGCGCAUGAUUCGCUCCAAAUUUUCAGAAUCGCUUUUGAUACAUAUUCCCAGUGAAACAAUGCAGUUCGUCCCAUCCUUAUAAGUUCUCACUUCUUCAACCAUCACGUAAUAUGUCUCAUUGGCCUCCUUAGGAUCAUAGCCAUAUCCUUUUCCAGCCCAAAAUCAAAUUAUUACCUAAUUAAUUGAGGGAGGUUCGGCUUUUUCUGAAACAAAAUUUGAAGUGUCAUUCGCUUAGCAAUCAAUUUGGAGCCCCAACAAACGAUGCUAUCGUCUCCUGAAGAAGUCUUCGAAGUGGUUGCUCUAAGGGUCUAGUUCACAGAACCCAAGUGGUGCCAUACCCCAACAAGUGACCUAUACUCACAUCACUCCUCUAUCUCCGUCUUCCUCUCAUUUUCUUAACCAUGACAUUUUGAUGUAUUGUUUGGAUGUGUUUUGCCUUAUGCUGAUCUAUUUUGUUGUGUUCCUGUGAUGUUUUUUUUUUUUUUGCUUCAUUCAAUCUAUUCUGCUAUAAAAAACAAACAGAACAAUGUUUAAAAUUUUGACAUUACAGCAUUCUAAAAGAAACACAUUCAAUCACUAACAGACGUACGUUUACAUCAAAGCAAUAGCUCACCACCAAGCUUUAAACAUUUCCUCACGAUUUAUACAUGCAAUCGCCAAGGAAGAUGCCGUUUCGUUUUCAUUCUUUUCUGCCAUCGAAAAAUCAACAUUUCCUACCUUUUUAAUGUCUCUUUUAAUAUCUGUGAAAGUUGCUUGAAGAGACCAUGGUCUAUACGACUUAUUUUCACACCAAUAAAACACCACUUUUGAACCAAGUUUUAUAAAUAGAGAAUCAUUUAGCUUCCAUUUCAUAGCUAAAAAUACUUCCAAUGAUACCACCACCGCACCAAUCUCUACCAAAUCAGUAUCAUAUGCUGCUACAGAACCUGAAUAAAGCUCUUAUGACUCUCUCCUUAUCUCUCAAGACACCUACUCUAUCCUCGUUUGCAAUUCCACAAGCAUUAAACUUUAAACAACCAUGCAGAGGAGGACGCCAUAAUGAUGCAGUUGAUUUGGAUUUAAUUGAAUCAAUCCUGCACCUAUUUGGACAUAUCCACCAAAAGUUCUCCUGCAAUGUUAGUUCAUCAUAAACAGAUCUAAUCCACAGCAGUGCCCUCAUCUUUGAUUACAAAACCAAAUUUUCCAAAGUUAUCAUCCUUCUUUCAAAGACCAUACAAUUUCUCGUUAACCAUACUGUCCAUCAGGCUGCCCAAAUUGAUAUCUACCAAAAACUUUUCCUAAUUUCAUCCAUUUUCAUGUUAAUGAGUAGAAAUCCUCAAAACCAUUUACCUGUUUCCAACUAACCUCCCACCAAUUGAAUAUUUUAACCCAAAACCUUCAAUAAAUUUAUAUUUGAAGAACAAAUGUUUGCACUCUCCGGAACUCUUUCGCACCAUGGAUAGCUAAUCGAGAUUUUUUGAAGAUUCACCCCUCUUUUGACCAGAAAUUCCCUUGUAGGAAUUCUGUCAGUAGUAAGCAUCCAUAGAAAACUUCGCACUCUUGGUGGUACCUUAAGUUUCCAUAUUUUAUCAAAAGCAAAAUUUGUAUCCUCCCUUCCAUCCAUUAUCAAUAAUUCAGAGCAUUUUCUUACCGAAAAUUCCCCGUUUCUAUCAUGUGCCCAACAAAACUUAUCCUCCACAUCUGAAACUAACACCGUGCUACUCACCCUCUCCACCAAUUUGCUAAGCAUUACCUCCUCUCUUCCUAAUAACGUUCUUGUAAAGAGUUCGUUCCAUUCUUCUCUACUAAACCCAUAGUUUCUCAUAAAACCAGCAUUUGUUCCUUCCUUUUGUCUUGUAAGGCGAAAUAGCCUUGGAAAUUCAUGUUUAAAUGGAAGAUUACCACACCAUAUGUCCAUCCAAAACAUCGCGGUCCUACCAUUCCCAAUCCUCCAGCAAAAAGAAUCUAUCCCCACCCAAAUCCAUUCCCAAUCCUGUGAUGUUAAUACUUGGAUUCUAAGAUUUUAAGCACAACGUAAAUAUUGUGACUAGGAAUUUGAGUAAUGAAUCCAUACAACAAAUGGCACAGCCAAAAAAUGAAAGACUAGCCCCAACAUAAAACUCUGGUUGCUUCGAUGGUCAAUCCAUCUAGCAAUAGCCAAGCACACAAUAAUUAAGUUUUUAAUUUAGCCUUGAUUCUAGAAAAUAAUAUAUAUAAAUUUAAAAAUAUUAAAAUGAUAUAUAAAAACUCUAAAAUUUUAUAAAAUUAUAUUCUAUGAUUGUCAAGACCACCAAAAAUAAAUUCCUACUCAAAAAGUAAUUUUGCAAAUAGUAGUGAGUAAGGUCGAAUUCACUUAUACUAGUGAUUCUAUUUCAUAAAAAUAAACAAAUUAAAGAUGAUGAGGAUUUUUAUAAAACUAAAAUUAAAACUAUAACUAAAGAAAAAUAAAAUUCAAACUUAAUAGAAAAACAAUAAUCAAAAGUUGAGAGAAAAUCAAAAGGUGAAACUUUGACUAAAGGUAAAAUCACAGUUCGAUUCAUAAGUUUGAUCAUUAAGAAAAGAUGAUUUUCAAUGUGCAUUAAUAAAUUGAUUAUAAUUCUUGAUGAUCAUCUAGUAGCUAAUCUCUUCUUACCUUCUCGAUAAAUAAGACAAACGCUAUUAAUUAAUUCCCUUAUUGAUAAACAAUCAUAUAAUGACCACUUUAAAUUUAAUCUAUCAAUAACAUUAAGAAUGAAAGAGACUCAAUUCUAACCAACAAAUUUAAAUGUACAAUUAGAAUUUAUUUAAAUUGGACCGUAUGCCCACACAAUAUAGAAUGCAGAUCUUUGUCAUACCCACCUAAGUUGCUUAUCACUAGUAUACAAUUACUGAUUUGACACUUCUAACUGACAAGACAAAUAUUCUAAUCAAUUGAAUAUAGGUCAUAUAUUCAACAAACCUAAAUAUUUACAAUUAAAUAAGAAGAUAUAGGAAUACUAAACAACAAACAAAGAUGAAGAACAUUUAGAUGCGACAAAAUCUUCAAGUCAAACUCCGAAUUUCCUUCAACUAGAAAAAAAUUUAGCAAUUCAUUGAGAAAAUAGAACACAAAAAUAAAAAUAAUGCUAAGGGAUGACUAUGUCUAGGUAUAUCCCUAUAUAACUUAAUGAAAAAAUCACAUAAUGAAAAAAAUACAAAAGUGUCAUUAAUUAAAGAAUAUUUCUAGGUUUCUUGGUAAUUUUCAUGUCAAAAUUUCAAGCAAAUUUCGGACACAUUCUCAAUAUUUUUUGUGCUCGAGUUGUGAAAUAACUUUUGUUAGAUAUUUUGAUUCCUUUCGAAUCGGUUUAUUAUGAGACAAAAUAAAAUUUUGUAGCUCAAGUUAUGACAAAAAAUAAAUACUAAAACUAGUAAAAAAAAUAAACUAAACUCUUUUUCUUCAAUUAUUCCCUAAAUCUAUAAUAAAUAAAAUAUAAUUCUUAAUAAUAUAAUUAAUUAUUUAAAUAAAAUAGUUCAAUAAAAUAAAUAUAAAAAAUAAUUAGAAAAUUACAUACUUAUCAAAUUUCCCUACACUUCAACUAUGCUCGUCCUCAAGCUUGAAACUAAUGAAAAUGCAUAUACAUAUACAACCUAAAGAAAUACUUACUCAAAUCAACAAUUAAAAAUAUCGUUAUAUUUCAAUGAAACAAGAAAAUAUGCUUUUAUAAAUACAAUCGACAUCCAAAUUUUAUAUGAUAAUAAAAAUUAUAAGAGUAACAGUAAUUUAUACAAUAACCCAAGUGACAGUUAAAAUAACAUUAGGAUCAAGCAUGCAUGGAGUUUCUACAAUGUAAAAUAUGCUGCCAAAACACAAAUCCAACCAAAGAAAAAGACAUGAAUAUGUUAACUGCAAACAAAAUACUAAUAAUAUUAAACAAGCAAAAUAUAAUAUGAAAAAAGUGACUAAACACCAAAAUUAGAUUAUAUCACAUUUUUUAAAUUAAACUAUUUGCUCACUUCAAAUAUGUUAUAAGUUUUUGUAUCAUUUAUGCAUAUGAACUUUAAUUUAAUUUUUUAUAUUUUAAAAUAUAAAUUUAAUUGCUAUUAUUGUUAAAUUCACUAGUACGACACUUUCAAUUUCUUUUUAAAGAAAAAUUCACUUAGAAGUCGUGUAACAAAAAAAAUGACAUUAUAAUGAACUUGAACUUAAUAGAAGAAUUUUAAUGAUAUUGAUAAUUGGACCUCUAUUUUUAAAUCCUAAAGUUAGAGAGGUUAAAUUUUUUAAAAUAAAAAAAGAACGAUUAAUUUCUAAAUGUUCGAAGAGUAAUGGACUUGGAACAUAUUUUAACCUAUUUAUUCACGUGGCUAAUCUAAAAUGCUUCCAAUGCAUGUAAUAUAAGCCACAUGAGCAAACUUUUUUAUUUUAAAAAUGUCACAUGAUCUAAUUUAAUUGAAGUCCUUUGAGAAUGUUAUCAAUCAGACUUCAAUUAUUAAAUCAAAAUAAUAGGGUGAGUAAAUUCUAGAGAUUAAAAAGAAAAGGACUAAAUGAAACGUACAAGGAUCGGAAGCAAAUUAGACCAAUUACCCAAAUUCCUUUUUAUAUGAUCUAAGAUAGCCUUCUCCAGAUUCGGCUGGCCACUUGGCUUGUAAGACCCGUUGUCAGUUACCGCUCUCCUUAGAUCCCUCUCUCUUCUUUAUUCUUCCUUUUUUCUUAAUUUUAGUUUGAAUUUUCGUCAGCUUCGUCCGUCUCUGGGAUCCUACAUAUUUUAUUCAUAAUCGAUUUGAAUAUCCACACUCAAUUCUCAUUCCGAGUUUCUUUCGUUAGGUCAUUCUAAUUAUCCGAGUGAGAAAAACAGAUUAGAGGCCGCAGUCAAUUGUCUGUUUCGAUUCUAAAUCUGUAGGGAAGUGUGAGAUGGAGGGGUCACCUCCACCAUGAAUGCAGAGAGACGAUGGAUAUAGAAGAAUAUACAAAAAUUCAAGCCUUCUUCGGUCAUGUCUUUUUUAUCCUGCGUCGCUUACCACUAUACUGGCAGGUUCCUUCUUUUUAUUCUCAAUAUUCAAUUCCAUGCCAUCUGUUUCCUCGAAUUUAGGAUUGUAUUUUAAUUAAUAGGAAUUUAUCAUAUUAAACGUAUGGUAACGGAAAGAAAGAGAAAACUUAACUUUCCCAUUUUCUUCUUCAACAUUUGGCUAUAGGCAAAACAAAAGAAAAGUUUAGGUUUUCCUUGCAAAUUAUCACCAUAACCGUGAGCUUGCCAAAGGUUCUAAGUAAGUUUUCUUUCUUAAUUUUUAUUACAUUAUGCUUUAAGGAUGUUGAAUUUAAUUAGCCCAUUUACUAGAUUUGAGAAUUCUUAAGAUAUUGAUUGAGUCACCAUGGUUGGAAGUUUUAAGGAAAUCUUGAAUGUUAUAAUUUUAAAGUCAUAUACGAGUAAGGCUAAUUAAUUCAUGAUACUAGUGUGUUAGAAAUGUAUUGGGUAGGAGUAAAUCAAGCUUAAAUUGUUUGAUAAAAUAUAUAUUAUUGAGGACCUAGUUGUAAAAGAUAAAAAUUUUGAGGUUUGAAAAUGAAUAAUGGUUAUGAGUGGUCCCUAUGUUAUAUUUAUAAUUAGAUUUAAAUUCGAUCGAGUAAAUUGUGAGAUAUGAGUUUUUUGAAUAUUAGGAGUUUGAGGGAUCAAAUUCUAAUAAAUGCAUUCAUGUUUAGAUUGUUGUAAUCUAUGUUGGAAUUGUGUGAUUAACACAUUAUUCGUAUUCAAAAUUUAAUUAGUCACUAAAGAGGGUAUGAGACCAUCCCUCAACAAAGAGAAAUUUACAGCCGUCGACGAAUAAUCAUUUUUGGUUUGUGCUUCUAUAAUUCACUUUUAAUAACUGGUGUUGACACCAUUUUUUUGGGAAAACAGGGUCCACUUGGAGUUUGAAAAUGAAAACAAAAAUGGGAGUCGCCACCAAUCCUUUUUGAUAAGGUGUGAUCGGGUCACCUUAGAAAAUGGUUGUUUUUAAUAAACGGUUUAGAUUUAUUAAAACAAUGCUUUUGAUCUACGAAAUUUAGAAAAAAAGGUUCGGAAGUCGGUUACGUACGAGGAAGGAUUAGCACCCUCGUAAUGUCCAAAAGUUGGUACCUAGUUGAUUAAUUAGUGUCUUAGUGUCGAAGAUAGAAAACUUUGAAGAGUUUUAAAAAUAUGAUCCUAAAAAAACUCGAAUAACAUGGAUUGAAAUUUAAUAUUCUUUUGUUCCGAAGGAAUAUCACAUCCAGCACGUUAGGACACGAUACAUUAAACCAUCAAAACCAAGAUCACCUUAUGGUUUCAAAAACCCAUACUUUGAAGUUUUAAGAGGAUAUUUGGCUAUUUGGUCAAACGAGAAAUCGAAACCCAGCACGUUAGGGCACAAUUUCUCGAAUUUCCAAAUGCAAAAUAUUGCCUUUAUUAUUUUUUAGAAAAGAACCUCAUCUUGAGAAAACAACAUGUCAUAUCCAAUUCGUUAGGACACAACAUAUCGAAUUCUCGAGAUAAACUUUAAUUUUGGAAUUUCUACGUUUAAAUUGAAAAGGGGUAUUCAAUUACUUAAAUUCAACAAGGAGAAUUGAAGCCCAGUAAGUUAGGACGCAAUCCUCUUGAGAAUCUUGGGUACCGAGUAGUUGAAAACUUAUGGAUAAAACGAUUUCAAUAUUUUCCUAAACGGAUGUAACGCGAUUGAAUUGUAACGUAUUACGCAAAAGUAUAAUUUGAAAAUAAAACACACAUUAACGAAUCAUGAAUAAUAAAUAAACACAAACCAACAUAGCGAUAAUAAUCUCAAUCAUACAUGUCAAAUAUCGAUGUCAAGAUUUGAAAUAAAAACAAGCUAAUCAAUACAAGCACAAACCAAGUGUAUAAAUUUUGAAAUGACUAGAAAAAUAAAUGGUAUGAAAGGAAUGGAAAUUGUGAAUCAAUAAAGCAUAUACGUAGAAAUUUUAAUAUAAGUAACAUACAAAAAAAUUUGAAAUGGAUUAAAAUGGAGUUUAACAUAAAAUAAAUACUAUGCGAAGUAAAUUUUAGAGUAAAUGUUCAAAAUAUUAAUAUAUACAUGUAUUAAAACUAAAAAAAAGUAAUACGUAUGGGGUGGAUAUAAUAUAUAGUACUAUACGUAAAAGUUGGAGUUAGUGAACUAUAUUAAAAUAAGAUUUUUUUAGAACUAGAUAUUUAUAGAUAAAAAAAAGAAAGAUGUAAGCAAAUAUAUAUACAACUAUAGUAAAGAAAGGAUUGAAAAUUAAUAUGUAAUUUGAUAAAAACUAUGUAUCAUAAAAUAAAGCCAUUUUAAAGAAAUAAAUCCCAUUGGAUUGAUAUAACAAUAUGAAAUAAUGAUAAUGAUAUAAAACGUUAAAAAAUAUAAAUACAUAAUAAUAAAAGAGUAAAUAAAUAUAAAUAAGUGUAAUAACAAUGCCAAUAAUAAUAAUGAAAGUAACAGUACUAAUAAAAAUAAUAAAAAUAAUGUUAAACUGUUAAUUUUACAAGAAAAAAAAAGAAAGAUAAAAUAACACAGAUAACAGAGAAGAACUAAAUCACACUCGAAAAUAAAAGUUUGAGGCAAAUCUGGAAAUAAAUGAAAGAAGGGAUCGCGCUGAACACGCGAACAACUGGGAAAGACCAAAAUAGGAAAUAAUCCCAGCCUUCCAGAACGCUGCGUUUUGCAUGCACCAGAUUGGAACAAAAAUAAAAUGCGUGGCCAUAUUUAAAGGGAACAAAAAGAUCGAUUCGAACUCAAUAUGGAGUACAGGGGACCAUUUUCGCAAAUAUCCCCUGGCAGGUCGAGUCGCGCACACGGAUAUGAGGAGCUAAACGACGUUGUUUUAGGGCUAUUGUAUCCAGCCCUAAACGAUGCCGUUUAGUCGACCUUUAAAAGUCUUUUUUUUUUUGAAAUUUCAUUCCUCUCCCCUUUUUUUUUUUAAAAACAUUGUCUCUCUCUCAAACCCUCUUUCCCCUUUUCCCAACUGCCCCCACAUCCGGCUAUGGCCAUCGCCGUCGAAUGGCUGCACCGCCGCCAUGGCCAAUGGCCGGCAACGGAAGAGAUGGGUUUUUAGCCCUUCUUCAAUGGCCUUCUUAGUCCAAGAGAGAGAGAACCGAAAGAGGGGACUCCUCACCCCGUCCUUUAGGGUUGACUUCGAGGACAGAGAGAAGACCCCCGACGACGUAGCCGAGAGGUGUUUCGGGUAAGUUUUUUUCACUUUUUUUUUUAUUUUCAUAGAUAAAACAUAAAACAAUACCCUAGAUCUAAAAUGCAAAAAUGAAAAAAAACUUAAAAAAGAUUCAAAUCUUUCCUUUUUUUUUGUAUUCAUUUCCAGAAAAUCGAAGAAGUUACAAUGGUUUCGUUUUCAGCCUUUAUAGGGCCGUUUAUCAUUAUUCUUUUUUUGUCUUUUUCAUUUGUUUUUUUUUUUUGCUUUUGUUUGUUUAUUUUUUCCUGCCAUUUUCUUUGUUGUUGUCUUCUUCUUGCGUAUUGCAAAUGGUAGUAGACACGUGGGUAGCAGCGAUAGGCGAGCGGCGGCGGUGGCCAGGGGACGUGCGAGGAGGCUGACGGCUAUGGGCAGACCUAGACCUAUCCAUGGGUCAGGUGGCCCGGCCCGGCCCGACGGCCCGCCCGAAAUAUGGGAGGGUUUGGGUAAAAAUAUAGGCCCAAAAUAUGGGCUUGGGCAAAAAAAUGAGGCCCGUUUAGAAAAUGGGCCGGGCCUCGAGAACAACUUUUUUGGCCCGGGCCUGGCUUGGUCCGGCCCAAAUAUAAUAAAUAUAUAUUUUUAUUUUAUUUUUAAUUUUUAAUUUUAAAAUAUUUUAAAUACUUUAUUUUAUUUUAUUUUAUUUUAUUUUUAAAAUAAUUUUUUGAUGUUUAUUUAAAAAAUGGGUCGGGCCGGGCUCGGGCUUAGGAUUUUUUCCCGGGCCGGGCCUGGACAAAAUUUCAAGCCCAUAUUUCGGGUCGGGCUGGGCCCGGGCCUAGGAGUCGGGCCGAAAUUUUUUUCUGGGCCCGGCCGGGUUGGCCCAUGGACACCUCUAGGCAGACCUAGGUGCGGCGCACCUAGGGUUUCCUUUGGCUGAAAAAUUUUUAGUUUUGGGCUAGGGUUUUUUAAUUUUUGGGCCUGCUGGGUUAGAUUUAAUUUGGGCUGGCAUUUUGGGUUUGUAAAUGGACAUUUGUUUUAUUAUGGACUUUUAACUGGUUUUGUUUGGGUCAUAUUGGGCCCCGGGUUUUAAUUUAAUUUGGUUUUGGUUAUUUGGACCAUAUUGGGCCCCGGGCAAAAUGGGCUUGUACAACUGGUUCAUAGUUUAGUAAGUCAUUAUAAAUAAAUAUGAAAUAAAUGUGAGGUAAUUGUAUCUCUCUAAAACUAUGAGAAAAUGAAUUUGAUAUCCUGAUUGUCGAAUUCGAGUUAUGUGUGAUUGACUUGUUAUUUGUAUAAGCAUGUACACAUAUGUUUGAUAUAAAUGUGUAUAUAUAUAUAUACACACAUUAGUUUUAUUGAAAAGAUUGGGAAACACACGGAAAGUGUCCAUUAAGACAAAACAGACAAGGGCCACCUUAUAUAGUUACAGAACAACACGACAUACAAUAAAACACCCAGGUAGCACACUUAAAAAACAUGUACAGAAAAAGGCCCACCUACCACCAAGCAAUGAGGUUUUCUGUGCUCUGCCCAUAGCUUCUUUUUCAAAAAGAAAAAAUCGCUGAAGAGUUCACCUUUCUACCUUUUUGUAAAUCUUUGUUGUACUCGCUCGACGAUCCUAAUCAACCACCAUGGUUUUCCAGUCGCGAAUACGAUGUAUCCCAUAUUCAAUCCUAACACCAAUCCACAUCCAUACCCCAUCAAUAUAGAAAAUUUCCAAUUCAAUUCAUCAUCUGUAUCAAAUUUGACCAAAGUUCCCCUAUCAUUAUCACAUCUUUUUGAUAAUGGCAAGCCGCAUAAACCCAAGUUUUCUUUGUAAGAAUCAUUAGUGAAAGUAUCAAAUUGUUUGCCUUGAGGAAUGGGUCCCUUGAGAUUAUUUUGAGAAAGGUUUAGCACCUCUAAGAAUCCAAGAUUUGUUAACUCUGUUGGAAUUCUUCCUUGGAACUUGUUUGAUGAGAGAUCUAAUGAUUCAAGUUCAGACAGAUCACCUAAUGAUGAUGGAAUAGGACCUGUUAAGCAAUUAUGAGAGAGGUUUAGGACAAUAAGUGAAUGAAGCUCACCAAGUGUUUUGGGCAAUUCUCCGAAGAAUUGAUUGUCUGAAAAGUCAAUUACCAUCCAACUGGUUAACACUGAUUGAAACUCUGUUUCCGACCCUUUUACUGUAAAAGAUAAACCAUAAGCAUAAUUGAAAGCAAUAUAAUCUGAUACAUCUUCCAUGUACUCUGGUUCAAGUUUAUUUUCAUGCCCCAUUCUAAUGGACUGUAGAUUUUUAAAAAAAUUGGUAGGUAAGUAGCCACUGAAGUUAUUGUGAGAAAGAUCAAUGACGCGCAAACGAGGGAAGGGAACUGUAACAUCAGAGUUAUCCAUUUGGCCAAAGAAUUUAUUCGAUCUCAAGACAAGAACUUGUAGAUGAUCUAAAUUUCCUAACCAGUUCGGGAAAGUGUCAUUCAAAUUGCUGUUCCCAACAUCGAGAAGGUUCAAAUCUUUGCAAUUACCUAAAGAUCGUGGCAGUGACCCUCCUAUUUGGUUGUUGUUGAUGCGAAAACUUUGUAACGUGCAAUAUUUAGCAAAACUUUAUGGUAUUUUACCAUGAAAAUUAUUAUUCCCUAGAUCAAUGUGUGAAAGAGAAGAACUCAAGUUUCCAAUGCACUCGGGAAUUGUUCCGUUAAUACUGUUGUUCCAUAAAGUGAGAACUUCAAGGGAACUUGCAUUACAUAUUGAAGAAGGGAUGUCUCCAACCAAUUUAUUUCUUGAAACAAAGUAGCAAAGCAAUGAAGGUGGUGGAGUUGGAAGUCGUCCUGAAAGAAAAUUUGGACUAUAUUAAAAUUAAGAGUUUGAAGCUUGUCUGAAACAAGAAAGUAAAUAAACUACAUUUCUAGUGUAAUACAUGGAUGAAUCUAGUUAAUUGACAGUGUUUAUGAAAUUCCUAAUUGAAGAUUAAAAUUUAAGAUGAAAAAUAUAGAACAAAUAAGAUCCAUCAAUGCCAUUUUAAAUAUAAUUUUCUUAAGUUACAAAAAAGGAAAGUUCACUUUCCAACAUAAGAUCCAUCAAUACCGUUUUUGUUAGGGAAUCAACAAACAAUAUGUAUACAUAUUCACUUACAUAUUACCAAACCUUGGACAGAAAAUUUACCAACCAGAGAAAAUAAAAAAAAAUCGAUGCUGAAAAUUUUCGAGUUUUUGUUUUUUUAUGUACGUAAUAAUUUUUCGGUUGGAUCAGAUGUUUAAAUAUGUUGCUUAAAAUUCCAUUGACGAUAAAAAGCAAGAGAGAACAUCGUUUGGAGUAACCAUUAAAGAAACAUUAAUGUAUAGAGACAAAGUAAAUAACAGUGUGAUGAGAGGAGGUAAGUUUGUGAUUCAUUCCAUCAUUCUCCCAAAAUAAAAAUUUAUUGUUAGCCCCUUUUAAAAAAUAAAAAAAUUUGAAGUCAAUAUACCAGGAAAUUGCCUUUAGAUUGUAAAAUAUUUAUAAUUCAAUUAUGGCCCUUCCACAUAUAAAAUUUAUUGUUUAAUCCUUUUAGAUUUUGUAAUUUUAAGUUAAUAAAAUAGUAAAAUAAUCUUUGGAUCCAUUAAAAAUAUAUAAUUAAUUUCUUGCCUAUAGAAAUUGCAUUUUUUCCUUCUUCCCUGCGUUUAGUGAACAACUUCCACCUAAGACGCACAGGAAGGGAUUAUGGGUGAUCUUUUAAUACCAUGGUAAGGUCAUGGAUGCAUUCUUUCCUAGAAAAAGGAGCAAAGUGGGAAAGAGAUUUGGGUUUGUUAGAUGCGCAAACACAAUUGAUGUUGAGAAGGCCAUAAGCACAUAUUGAAUGAGUGUAAGGUGUUGGGAGACCUAAUUCAUGUUCAUAGUUCUACUCUGUAAACUAGAACCAAAUUCUAAAGGAAAGUGACAUUUAGGAAACCAAAGGACAAUCCAUAAGCAACACAAAAGGUCGCACAAUCCCAAAGUUUUAAUGAAAAGUGUAGUGUCUAUGACCAAAAGGGUUGAGCAGAAAAUCAGUAAAGAAACUAGUAAGAACUCAGUAAAGAAACUAGUAAGAACUCACAUGAUGAUUAACUCUCUCUCGCACACUCUUGAAUAUGAAAAAAUGCAUAUUUUCUUUGUGGACCUUUUGUUAGGAAAAAUCUUUAUAAAUCGUUGCUGGUGCAUUUGUCACAGAUCGCAGUUCAAAGCUUGUGACCAUCGUAUACAAUACAUCCCAUGGAGGUCUAUCAUUGACAUGGGGAUCAUUUGGCCCACAAGAAAUGGCUUGAUUUAAAGAGUUGUUAGAGAAGUCUGUCAGAUUGAAGCCUAGGUGGCCCAAUGAUGAAGAUAUGUCGACAUAGGCUACCUUGGCAAAUAGGGAAACCAAUCUUAGAAGAUUGAGGGGAACCAUGUCUUAUAAGAUUAGGUUUGAUUUGAUUAUGAAAAUUGAUUAUGCAAUCUUGUAAAUUAAUAGAUUUAAGGGAUAGGCUAAUCUUAUCCAUCGAUUUAACUUGAUCUAGACCAUUUAUUUUGGGGGAGCUCAACUAUAAAUAGAGAGCCUCCCCCUCACUUGUAACUCACUUCAUUCUUUCGUUAUUUCUUGUCUUGUUUGAGAAAAAGUAAUACAAUUGAGAGCAUUUACUCAAACACCUUUUAGGCAUAGUUUUCUUUGGCUUUAUGUUCUUUUGAGUCUUCUUUUAGCUAAGUUGCUUCCGCUAUAUGAAUUGGUGUCUUGGAUGAAUUCUUUGUAAAUUAAUUAUUUGGUGGUUAGGCUAACUUAGGCGUGUUUGUAUCAAAUGGAUUACCUAAGGCCACAUGGAAUGUGAGACUAAAGUUCUAGCCCUGUGAUAAGUGGUAUCAAAGCUUAGGUUACGAAGGCACCAUCGAGAUGUCAAAAGAAGUUGUUGAUCAGAAAUGGGCUAGAAAACUAGUCCUUUUGAAGGAUAUGUUAUUAGAAGUAGAAAAACGAAUGGAUAAACUCGAGAAGUUCAUAGAGGACGCGAAAGAGUCGCACGAUGUGCUUGGUGAGCACAUAGAUGACUUGAGGGAGUAGUCUAGGGACUUUGAGAUCAUGUCUCGCACUUUCAAUAGGGAAAGUGUGUAAGAGUUACUGAAUUCCCAUAGGAAGAAGCUGAUGGAGAGGAAUAAUGCGCUCUAGGCCAUGGUGAUGGCUUUGAAGAAAGACACAAUGGUCAUAAUAAAGGCUUUGAGCACAAGUAUAGAGGAGCUCGAGCAACCGUGGGGAAUAGAGUGUCGAGUGCAACAUUUAAUUGUGAGGAUGUCCAAAAGCUGAAAGAUUUUAUAGGGAUAAGGUCUGCAUACAAUGUAGACAAUUUCUUAUGGAGGAUGGAGCACUACUUCCAUGCCAAAGGCAUCAUGAAGGAUGCAAGUAAGGUAAAUACUACUUCCAUGUUUCUUACUGAUUUUACGCUUUUAUGGUGGUGAGGCAGGUCCAUAGGUAAAAGGCAUAGUGAGAUUGAGACAUGGGAAGAGUUCCAACAUGAGUUGAAAGGUAGUUUUAUCCAGAAUUUUUCAAGUAGGAAGCUCAAGCAAAGUUAUGAUGACUUACGCAAUAAGACACAGCGGAGGAGUAUGUUCGAGAGUUCAAGGAACUCAUGCUCCGAAUUUUAGAUGUGACUGAGAUAAAGGCGUUGCUUGCUUUCAAGAAUAGAUUAAAGCCAUGGGUCAGACAAGAAUUAACACGAUGAGGUGUCCAAGAGUUGUCAAAAGCCAUGAUGGUAGCGAAGUCCAUGGUCAAGCUUGAGUCUUUCAAGUCCAAGGAAAGGGGUGUAUGUGAAAGGAAUAACGAGUAAGAUAGUGGAAAUGGCAACUGCAAUUGUAGUGGUAAUGGGAAACCACGAGUUGGGGAGAAUAAACUAAAAAAAAGGCAAGUUGACAUGCUUUCUUUGUGAUGGUCCACAUUUGUUGAAGAAAUAUCCAAAGAAAUCCGUGCUUUCUAAUAAAGACAAGUCGAAAGGUAAGGCCGUGAGACUUGGUUCAAGCACAAGGGGUGUCAAACCCAAGGAGGCCGAAUGUGGGAAGAAGCCAAUGGAGUGCUUCUUGUGUCAUGGUCCUCAUAGGUUGCAGAAAUGUCUGAAGAAAUCUACCAUCGAAGAGGGUGAUGUAUCAAACAAGGAGCCCAAGAAGCUUGGUUCGAGCAAGGGAAAAGUCGAAGCCAAAAUGACAAAAAAGAGCAAGAAGAAGCUAGUAAACUGCUUCUUGUGUUGUGGUCCACAUAAGUUGCGAAACUAUCCAAAGCAAAUUGUGGUAAAAAAAAAAGACAAUAUCAAAGCUUGUUGAGUCAUCAGAGGGGCUUCCACCCAAUGAAGAGGUGAGUUUGUCAUUAAACUUAGAGGAAAAAAUGUCAAUAAAAAUAGUGAAGCUAGGACCAAUAAAACUUAAUUCAAGUAAAGUAACGGAGUUGACUGAGUUAUCGGUGAGGCUUCCACCCAUGGAAGAGGUGAGUUGUGCAUUAGACUCAAAUAAAGAAGUAGCAAUGCAAACUUUGAAGCUAGAAUCAAUGAGGCUUACUUCUGUUGACACAUCGGAGGAGCUACCACCUUUGGGUAAGGUGGGUUGUGCAUCAAACUUUGGAAAAGUGGUCCUACAAGUUGGACAGUUGACCCUAGUAAAUGCAAUGAGUAAGGUAUAUUCCGAACAUUUUGGUAGUGUUUUUCAUUCUAACUUGUUGACUUAGCAAAAAUGUAAGGGCCCUUUCAAAGUUCUUAAGCAAGGAAGCCGAGACACUGUGGGCAAUUCGAAGCCAAGUUGUAUGAAUCAAGAAUAUUCCAUUAAAAGUGAAUCAGAAUGUGGGCAAGAAAGAGUCGUGGCUUCUUUCCAUUGAGAUGUAUCAAUGAGUGGAACAACUCGAUAGUGAGACUAAUCGAGAAAAAGUUAAGGCGUCAAGACGAGAUCGAGGCGAAUCAAGUUAAUACCAUUCUAAAGGAGUAACGAGGUCAUUGUAAAAAUGAGAGAGGGAGAAUGUCAUGGGUCACAGUUCAAAGCCUGUGACCAUCGCACACAAUGCAUACCAUGGAGGUCUAUCAUUGACAUGGGGAUCAUUUAACCUACAAGAACUAGUUAGAUUCAAAGAGUUGUUAGAGAAGCCUGUCAGAUAGAAGUCUGGAUGGCCCAAUGAUGAAUAUAUGACAACAUAGGCUACCUUGGUAAAUAGGGAAAACAAUAUUGAGAGGAAUCAUAUCUUAUAAUAUUAGAUUGGAUUUGAUUAUGUAAUCUUGUAAAUCCUUAUAUUUAAGGGGUAGGCUAAUCUCGUCCGUCAAUUUAACUUGAUCUAGACCGUCAAUUUUGGGGGAGCUCAACUAUAAAUAGAGAGUUUCUCCUGACUUGUAUCUCACUUUAUUCUUUCAUUGUUUUUUGUAUUCUUUGAGAGAAAGUAAUAUAAUUGAGAGCAUUUACUAGCAUUUACUCAAACACCUUUCAUGCAUAGUUUUCUUUAGCUUUUUAUUCUUUUGAGCCUUCUUUUGGCUAAGUUGCUUCCGCUAUAUAAAUUGCUGUCUUGGAGGAAUUCUUUGUGAAUCCUCAAUUGUUUGGUGGUUAGGUUGGCUUAGGCGUGUUUGUAUCGAAAGGAUUGUCUAAGGCCGCAGGGAACACGAAACCAAAGUUCUAGCCUUAUGACACAUUGCUUAGGAUUUUGACGUAGUGUGUAAAAAAAGAAGAAUGGAAGUGUUGUGGAAGUAGAAAUAUGAAAAUGAAAAGGGCCAACAGCUUUAUUGAUAGGGAGAGCUUAUUGAUUUACCAUUUUCAAGCAUUGCUUUGUUGUGAAAUUUUAGCUAGCAAUGACUUCACAAAUCAAAGCUUACUAUUGAAUCUUGUUGGAACUCUAGUUGUCCUAUUGCUUAUGUUUCAACUCAUAUCCAAAUAGUUGGUUGCACUGCUUAGUUAUUCCCAUGUUCGAAUAGAUGUCCAGACAAACCUUUAGGUAACAAUUUGGACAUGUCUUUAGGACAACUCAAGUAGAGUUGGUUGUUGGCGCUUUGACUUUGACCUCUCAAAUUAUUUUCUCUAUAACUAAAUGAUCCUUGAAGCAUGUUUUAUCUCUUCCUAAAUGAUGUUGAUUGACAUGCCUUAUCUUGUAAAACUUAUCUUUAUCUUAUAAGUAAUUUACUUGGUGAUUAAGCUGUUGAUUUUACUUAGCUUAUAAGGUUUUAUAUUGAGAUAAAUAUUGGAGGUUAUUAUCCUGGAUAAUCAUGCAAUUAAAAUUAUAAUUCUAUUUUCACAAAACUACCAAGGGGAGUUUAUGAUAUUUCACAUAAAUAGGCAGCUUAUUCGCAUGGUUUGAUACAAAUUUUUAGAGGACUAAUUAUGUUGCUUUUGCUAGUAUCUUUGUUGUUGAUUUUUUCUUAUAUUUAACACUUAUUUCGUGGGUUUGUUGGAGAGUUUUAAAAUCACUAUAAGGGAGGUCAUUUGAGUGAAUGGUUGUAACAAGUUGGGAUUAUCUAUUGAGGCUGCAAAUGCUUCUUGUGUAAAUACAAGUUGGGAUUUAGUCAAUAGGCUACUUGAUUAAUUGUUGAACAUGCCAUUCACCAAACGAGGCUCUGUAGAGUAGGAUUAUCUUUUAACUGCAUUAAUAAAACUUGUAUGCUUAUGUCUUCCUUUACUAUCUUUGCUCAUUGCCUUUGUUCACUAUCUUGUUCAAACUCGUGUCUAGGCAUCAACUUGAACAAGAAGCAAAACUAUUGCUUUUUUAAUUGGUAUCAGAGUAGGCUUCAAGAUAUGUUUGAAAAUGAUCCUAUCACAUUUUGCUAUGAUGGAGGCCAUGAGAGUAGGAAAUUCAUAUCUCAAGAUUACUUGUUGGAUCCUCAAACUAUGCUUACUGUAAAACUUGAAUGAGGGAUUUAUGAUGUCCAUUUAUGAAGCUACACAAGAAGAUGUUGAGGAAGGAUGGACAAAACUUGAGGUAAUUGAUUCUUAUGGAACAACAAAGGCUAAGGAAAAGAAUCAAUAUACUGCUGAUAAGAGAAAGGCUGCCUAAGAAAACUCCAAAGCCUUGUAUACUGUUUUCAGCCGGGUUCACAUGGGGCAGUUUAAAAUGGUAUCAAAUUGUAAAUCAACAAAAGAAACUUGGACCAUCUUACAGAACCAAGGUGGAGGGAAUGCAACUUUUCGAAUGCCAAAUUGCAAAUCAUGAAUACCAUGCUAGAUUAGGUGACUAAUCUAAUGAGAUAUUUUAUCUUGGUGAGCAUUUUUUCGAGGUUAAACUGGUGAGAAAAUUUUUUUAGGUUACUUGCAAAAUAUUUUGUUAUCAAAGUCACAGUAAUAAAAGAAGCCAAGGAUAUCACCACUCUUAAAUUGAUGAGCCGUUAGGUUCUCUUAGAACCUUUGAGCUAAUUAAGCAAAGCAUGACAAGUUGAGCCUAAGAAGAACAUUGCCUUCAAUGUUCAACCUACUAUUCUGACAGGAAAGCAGACAGGGGAGGCCAUUCAGGGGUUUAGUCAAUGGGGGUUGGCAAGGCCUGACCCCCCUAAAAUGGAAAUUUUUUUAUUUAGGUCCUUUAAAAUUUUUUAAAUUUUAAAUUAAUAAAGGUAAAAUUACACUUUGGUCCCUUUAAAAGUGAUAAAAAAUUGAUUUAAUCCUUUAAAAGUUAUAAUGAUAUAGGUUAUUCAAAUAGUGAAAUUGUAUUUUUACUAUCGUAAAAAUUACAAUUUAAUUUUGACCCCCUAAAAAAGUUUCUUGCUUCACUCCUGAGGCCAUUGAUAAAAUCAAACAGCAAAUAACUUUGCUUUCCAAAAAUUUUAACAAGGUACUAAAAAGAAUUUCAAAAAGGAGACCUCGAGUAGAUUUGGGGUCCAGCAACACCAACAAAAAGUUUUGACUAAAAGAAUACAACACUUAGAAUAAGAAGAAAGAGGUUCACUCCUAUGAAUGUAAAGGUAUUGGCUAUAUUCAAUCAGAAUAUGCCAACACUAAGAAGAACAAGAAGUUCUUAGCAGUUACUUGGAGUAACGAAGAGGAUGAAAGUGAACUUUUAGACUCUCAUGAGGAGAUAAAUAACUAUGAGGCCUUCAAUGCUGCUCUUCAAAGUCCUAUAUAGACAGGCUAUGAAACAACUGAAGAACCUGAUUGUGACAUUAGAACACUUGAAGAUACAUAUUUCCAAAUGAUCAAAAAAUUAAAAAUUGUGUCAAAUAAAUGAUGACUUGAGAGAAAAAAUGAGCAAUUUGAAGGGAAAAAAAAAAAGGGAAGUUUGAGAGACUAGUGCAAGAGAAAGAUGAGGUUUUAAAGAAUACUGAGAAAGAGCUUCGCUAUUCUAAAGAGGUUUAAUGGGCAGAGUGAAAAGCUUGAUGAAAUCUUGACCACAAUGAGAUUCGACCUUGGUCAUAAGGGGCCUUGGUUAUCCUUUAGCAAGUAAGAAAGUUGAUUCACCUACUGUGUUUGUUAAAGCUACUGAUUCGAGCUUCAAGGUCAAAGUAUAAAACGUAUAAUUAAUUUUUUUUAAAGCCAAAAAUAUUAUAUUAAGUAACUAAAAUAUUGUAAAGCUAGUCAAUAAUAUAUAACAAAUAUGUAAUGCAACUGGAUGGGAUUGCAUAAUUGUAACAUAAAAAAGGAGAAGAAAAUUGAUAUUAUACCUGUUAAUUUAUUACCAGAAAAAAAUCCUCUCGAGAGAAGUCAUGUUUCGAAUAGCUAAUGGAAUUUCACCUGAAACAUGUAAUUAAAUUUAGCGUAGUGGUAAGAAUAAAUAUCUUUGUGUUUGCAUUUUGACAAGUGCAUAAUUUCUCAAUUAUUUACAAUAUUUUUCCAUUUCAACACAGUGCAAUUUCAGUAUUUUGGUUGUAACUUAAGUUAUAGACUUCUGUUUUGAACCCAUAAUAUAUCAAUUCGAAGGGAAUUGAAAGAUUUAACUAAAUGUUAUUUCAUAGAUGAAGCCCAAAAAUGUCAAGAAGACACCUAAAAAUGGUCUGGAAGUUUGAAGUGAAAAUUGCCAAGAAAUCUUGAAAAAUUCUACAUUAAUUAAUUAAUGGCACUUUUGUAUUUUAUCUAUUAUAUUUUUUUUUCCUAUAAAUAGAUGUUAUUAGGUUAAAAUAAGGCAGAGACCUAGUCAUUCUUAGUUUUUUCUUGUUUUCUUUAUUUUAUGGAUUUCUAAAUCUGUCUUUAUAGUCAAGGGUUUUAUCGAAGUUUGAUUUAAUAAAUCCGUGAGACUUAUUUGUGUUUUAAUUCUUCUUUGAUCUUUGGUAUUUAUCCAUCUUCUGUUUUAAUUACAAUUGCUCGAGUUUAUUAAGUAUGUGACCAAUAUUCGAUAGCUCAGAACAAUUGUCUACUCAAUUAAAAUAGUUAAACCUGUAAUUUUUUAAUUCAUUCUAAUACUAGUGACAAACUGCAUAACUCCUUUAUGUUAUACUUUGGGAUUAUAUGGUGUGAAUGUGUGAUCUAACUUAAAUGAACCCCGCUGAGUUGAGCUUGUUGGUUAGAAUUAGGUCUCUCUCAUUCUUAAUGCUACCGAUAAGUUAAAUCUUGGGCACUGAGUUACAAGGUUAUUUAUCGGUUGGGGAACUAAUUUCAAAUGAGUUGCUUCUUGAUUACCGAAUAGAUAAGGAGACAUUGGUUGAUCGGUACUGAGUCAGUAACUAGAACUAAUUAAUUAAAGGUAUUGGAGUUAUCCUUGCGUCAAUGAUCAAAUCUGUUAAUUUACCAACCAAGGAAAAAUAAGAAAAAUAUUUUUUAUUGAUGUUGAAAGAGAUCUCUAUAGUUUCGUGUAAUGAAAGAGCUAUAACCACAUGCUGAAUAAUAACCACGUGUACGUGUCACGGGGCUAGACCUUUCGUCUCGCAAACCGUGUGGCCUUAGGCAAUCCGUUUGCUCCAAACUCGCCUAAGUCAGCCUUAACUCAAAUGAGGAUUCCUUAAGAACUCCUCCAAGGCACCAAUUGAAGAGCGGAAGCGAUUUAAGUCAAAAGAAGCUAAGCCAAAGAACAAUAGAAAGCCACAGAAAAGAAUGCACACAAGGUGUUUGAGUAAAUGCUCUCAGAACUCUAUUACUCUUAAGAAUUCAGAAUACAAUGGAAUCAGUACAAAUGAGGGGGAGGCUCUCUAUUUAUAGUUGAGCUCCCCCAAAACCAACGGUCAAGAUACAAUUACAUCGACAGACGAGAUUAACUAUAUCCCUUUAUUUUAGGGAUUUACAAGAUAAGCCUUAUCAAAUCUAAUCUAAUCUUUACAAGAUAAGAUUCCCUCUAUCUUCUAAGAUUAGUUACCAUAUCAGCCUAAAUCUCUUCGUUAUCGGGCCAACCGGGCUUCAAUCUGACAGGCUCCUCCAAUUUCUCAUUGAAUCGGGCCAGUUCUCGUGGGCCAAAUGAUCCCCAUCUGAGCAAUAGACCUUCAUUGGAUGCAUUUGGUGCGAUGGUCACGGGCUUUGAACUGCGGCCCGUGACAUACGCAGGUUCAUUUUACGGUUUAUAUUCAAGGUUUAUGGCUGUCCCUCCCAACAAUGUUGUUUUCAAGGUUAGAACCUAAAUUCUCCCCUAGAAAAUACAAUGUGUCUUACCAUUUCACCUGACCACUUAUUAGUACAACAUUUAGUUUUGACACUAAAGUUUUAAGAAACUGUAGAUUCUAAGAGAACAGGGAUUCAGGAGACGAGCAGUAAAGAAACUAGUAAGAAAUCAGAUGAUCAUGAGCUCUCUCUCUCUCUCUGUGCAAUUUUUUUUAACAUGGUUUAAAAAAUCAAUUCAAGUCUAAAUAAUUUUGGAAUAGAUUCAUUUGAGUUUAAUAUUCAAAUAAUUCAUAUUUGGAUCAUUGAAUUUAACUAAUUUUUAAUUCAAAUUAUUGAAUUUUCUCCCAUUUAUCAGUAUUUCCUACAUUUUUCUAAUGUCAAAAUUGUUAAGGUAUCAAUUGAAUAGUAUUAUAUUAAGAAACCAAAAAAUUAUAAAGCUAAUUCAUAAUAUAACAAAAUUCUAUUGCUACUAAAAGAGAUUUGCAUAAAUGUACCAAAAAGAAAGGAUAAAAAUAUAAUACUAUACCUGUUAAGAUGUUAUAAGAAAGACUGAGUUUAAUUAGAGAAGUCAAAUUUCCAACCACGAGUGGAAUUUCACCUGAAACAUAUAAUUAAAUAUAUUAAUAUUUACUAAUAUUUUUCUAACAUAUCCUUAGUUUCUUUGUGAGCACUCCAUCUAAUUUUAAUUACUCAGAAAAAACCUAAAUUUUAUAAAACCCUAUGCCACAAAGCCACCACAAGAGAUCACCAGAAAAAAACUGAAGCAUCCAAAAAAUCUAUCAAGCACUGAACUCGAAAAGACAUCGUAUAACAAUGGUCACCAUCAGUAUGAACAAACAACAGCUCUAGAUUAACAAAUAUGAUAUUCAUCACUUCAAUUAAAAAGUUUUAAGGAAACGAAAGUGCAAAAUCUGAAGAGUUCAGAUAAAGGCUUAAAACGAGUCCUUAUAAGAUGGCAAACUUGACCAGAGGUGUGAAGUCAUACUUGAUAAGAUGACUCAAUCAACACAAAAACAAAUAAAGAUUUACUGUAUGACUAAGUUCAUUCUUAUUAGCAUUAAACUAAACAGUUAUUGUUUAAUUUCAUACUUCAUUAUUUAAAACAAUUGUUGAUUGAAAUUAUAUAAGAAAAAUGAAUGAAACAAUAAUGAGGAAUUGCUUACCCUUGAGGUUGUUGUAAUCAAGAUAUAAAUCUUCGAGCGAAGUCAAAUUUUCAAUCUCUCUAGGUAUACUUCCCUCCAAAGCGUUGUUAUCCAUUGAUAAAUAUGUCAGCUCUUUACACUUGAAUAAACUACUUGGAAUUUUACCGAAAAUCCGAUUCCAUUGUAAGUUCAGUACUUGCAAAUUCGAAAAGUUAUCAAAUAUUCUUGAUGGCAGACUACCUGCAAUGAAAAUUUUGUUAGUUGUCAAACCAAUUUUAUUAAGGAAAAAUAUAUUCAAGUUCAUCAAAGUUAUCCAAGUAUAACCAGGUCAAGUUUAAAAGAUUUCCAAGGCAUAUGCGUCUAAAAUAGUUGCUUUACAAUAAUAAGUGUUCUAAUUUUGACAAAUUGCUCAAAGUAGAUGGGUAACAAUAUUAAAUUUAAUAGCAUUCAAAUACAAACUUUGUAGUUUAAUGAAGUAACCAAACUAUGAUCGGAUUCUCUUAUUAUCAAAGUUCAAAUAUUUUAGACUAUGCAAAUUAGUUAACUUAAUAAGUUUCUUUUCAUGAAUAAUAGUAUUCCACAUUAUAUAAUGUUAUAAUAAGAGGAGGAGAAAUUCACUAAUGUUGAAAAUCGAAUGAUACAAAAGGAGUUUUGACUAUACUUGUUUAAAUGUUGAAAAAUCCUAUUUUAAUCAAUGUAAAAUAAAAAUGUAGUUCUAUAGGGAUUCUACUUGUGCGACAUGGUCCAUACCAUGAGGGCUCUGCCCCCGCACCCCAGUACAAUUUUUGACAAUAUAUUUUAUUUUUUAACAAGUGACGGGAUUUGAGUCAUACAACUCUAACAUAUAAAGAAUAAAUGGCACUAUAUAUUUCUUCCAAACCUCCUCAUGAACCCUUUGAAACAACAAAUCUCCAUAACCCAAACAAAAAUUUAUUAAUAAUAUUUCAUGAUAUUGGUACAAUAUACAAAAUACUGAGGCAAGUGUACUUGAAAUGGCUUGUGUAGUGCCAAUGGAAGUGGCUAUGGGGAUAGCAUUGCAACAAGCUUUAUAACUUUCCAUGUUUAAAGUAGCCAAAUUUUUAAAUAAAAUCUUUAAGUUGUAAACAUUUCUGAUAUUAUGAAACUAUGAUAACUUGUUUAGGAAGAUCGACAUUUAAAGUAAUUUACUUUAAAGAUUAGAUUGAAAAAGUAUUGGAGACAUAUCUCCAACCGUCCAUUUUAUGGAUGGACCUUAUUAUUAUAUUGUAUUGCUAUUAUAGUUGUUGGUUUUAAGGGGAAUCUCUUAUAUAUUUGUAUGAAAAUGUGUAAUGAAUUUUCUCUUGUUUUUUCUAAGCCAACAAUAUUAUAUUAAUAACCUAAAAGAUUAUAAAACUAAUUAAUAAUAUAACAAAGUUAUAAAGCAACUAAAAAUGAUUUUUUUAAGCAUCUUAAAAGAGCUUGCAUUAAUAAUAUAUAAACUAUGAUAUUAUACCUGAUAAAUUGUUAUAAGAAAGAUCGAUAUAAAGGAGAGAAGUCAAGUUUCCAAUAACGGAAGAAAUUUCACCUGAAACAUAUAAUUAAAUAUGUUAAAAUUUAUUAAUAUUUUUCUAACAUACCCAUGGUUUCUUUGUUGAGCACUAUAGGCAUAUGCUUUCUUUUCUUUUUUUUUUAAAUGUAAAUUUCAUUCAAUUUAAUAGCACUUAGAUAGCACCAAACAAUUUAAUUAUAAUGAAAAGAAACCUAAAAUUUAUAAAUCCCUAAGUAAAAAAAAAAACACCACAAGAGAUCACAAAAAAAGGUCACUAUAUUACGUUUCGUUCAAUGAAGAACCAUACUUGUAAAAAUCUAGGGAAGUUUAAAAAAUUGGGUUCAUGGAAUCUAUUUUAGUGUUGAUGCUAAUCAAAAGGUCUCUAUGAAGUGUGCAUCUUCAUUAGAGGAGACUGGCAGGAAAAAAUGGGUAGAAGAAGGAAACAUGUGCCUCGAGAAGCAAUUAAUGCGGUGGCCUUGGAAAAUACUUCUGGUACCAACAGUAGUCAAGAUUUGUUGUAGUCUGAUGUACAUCCGGAUGGAUUGAGGCAGGGAUAGGGAUCUUAAUGCUUUAGAACAAAUUGAAGGAGCCACCGUUAGUGGUAAAGGCAUCGGGGAUGAGAUUAUAAAAGUAAUUGACAAUAUAUAACAGAGUGCCACGAGAAAAGAAAAGGAUUGCAUAAUUGUAACAAGGAAAAGAAAAUCAAUUUUGUACCUGUUAAGUAGUUCAUAGAAAGAUCAAUGACCUUGAGUGAAGUCACGUUUCUUCUAGUUGAUGAAAAAUCGCCUGAAACAUAUAAUUAAAUUUGUCAAAUUAAUUUGGUGAUAGAAUUAUGUUUUGUUUUGUUCAGUAUAAUAGUGCGAAUGAGUAUCUUUGCGGUAAGACCUAUAAUCGUAGCUAGAACUCUCUGAAAUUUUUGAAAUUUUUCCUCAAACUUAUAAUUAAAUGCUCUCCAAAUAUCGAAUGAAGUUUUUGGACUUUUUCCCAAAAAGUUGACGUCCAAAAAAGUCAAGAUAAAGUAAUCAACCAUAUUCAAAUAGAGAUAACCAAAAGAUUUUUUGUAUUGCAGUGAAAUAUUUUGCUACUGCAACGGAAAAAUGUUAAAGAUUGAGGAAGGAACAGAACCUGCAGUUAAUAAAAUCAAUAUUCAUUAACUGACAAUUUAGACAAGGGGCAUCACUAUGAUAAAAUUCCCACAUGCAAUAAAUAGCACAAAUUGAACUAAAAUUGCUGACAUGACUAACAAUGGUACUUAUUUGACAUCAAAUAAUCGGCUGAGGGCUGAAUCGGUUCAAAUUUUUAAAAAAUAAAAUCGAGAAAGGUAUGAAACCUAAAAAGAGUUACCAUUCAAAUAUAUCGAUAUCAAGUUUGAAAGAUUUUCAAUCGUUCUAAGAAUUUAUCUUUUUAAAAUCGUUGUUAUACAAUAACAAGUGUUCUAAUUUUGACAGAUUACCUAGAAUAGAUGGGACAACACCAUUGAAGUAGUUAUCGGAUAAAGAUAGACUUUGAAGUUUAGGAAAGUAACCAAACCAUGACGGGACUUCUCCAUUGAAACUGUUGUUAUUAAAGUUUAAAUAUUUCAGACGAUGUAAAUUAGUUAGCUCAAUGGGUAAAGAGCCAUGAAAAUUAUUGUUAUGAAUGUCGAGCCAAGCAAGGAAAGAUAAAUUCCCCAAUUCAGAAGGGAUGAUGCCUGUGAGAUCCAUAUUUGACAAAUUCAGAGCAAUGACUCUGUGGUGUCUGGAUCCACAAGUGACACCAAUCCAAUUGCAAACUGAAGUAGAAGUAGACCAAUUGGUUACUAAGUGAUGAGGAUCAUGACUUAUAUAAGAUUUCAGUGCUAGAAGAUUUAAUUCAUCAGCGGUGAUAUUGAGUGAAUUUACAGACAAAAUAGCACCAAAAAUCACCAACAGCGCAAGCAUAGGAAAGGGGAGGAAGAUGGUUUAGCCAUAAAGUUGGGUGUGGGUAUAAAGCAAAUCAUAAAGAACAAAACAGCUGAAUUUAAUACUUUCGUAAUGUUAGUUGAAUAUUCUUUAAAAACUUCGAUUCCAGCCCCUUCAUAAAUCAUAAUAAUAAUAAUAAUAAUAAUAAUUCAGGCCUCCAAUCGUUGUACAAGUAAAAAGCCGAUCAUAUUCUGCGAAAACUCCAAAUAUAAAAAGAGUCUAAACAAUUAACGUAAGGUGAAAAAUGAAAACCUCAUAUCUACCAUGUUGACUAUGCACCCUACUUCUAUAUUUUGUCAUAGAUUCUAGAUCUUAAUAAUUUUGAUAAAAAGAAAACAUUAUCAUUAACAUGUCAUAUCGUAAAAUUAUGUACAUUUUUAAAGCUUCAAUAAAAAAAUUCGAGGAAAAUUUAGAGGAAAUUAAUGAGAGAUUGAAAAGGACACAUCGAUGGAAUGAUCCUGGUUUCAAGAUAAAAAAAAUUAUUUUGUAAACAAAGACCCGAUGAACGAUGUAUAAUGCAAAAGUUGUUCACAUGGAGUAUUAUAAUUCUCAAGUGACGGAAUCCUGCACUCUUGUUUUGUCAUUAUCUUGGUUUUCCACAAAUACAUCCAAGAUUAAGUUUGUUUAUGAUAUUUCGUGUUGCCUUAAAUAAAUGAUCCUAAAAUGCUGAGAAAGAUCCUGCUAACCUAACACAAUUAACUUCUGUCUAUGCUAAUAUGAAUUCUAAUGCUAAAUGUCAUUGUUAAAUGAUGUAUAUACUUUCGUUUUCUUGACUAUACACGACGAUUUUGCAAAUUAGACAAUAAUGUAAUUUUCAAAUAUAAUGUUUUUUUAGCAAUGACUUCAUUUGUUUAUCUAAAAAUGUUUACGAUGAUAAUAUUUUAUUUAUAAAAAUUUUUACCUAACAAUAAUAUAUUGGUUGCAAAUUAGAAUUUGCAACAAUGUAAAUUUAGAUGCUAUAUCUCUUACAUAACAAUAAAACUAUUGGCUAGCUGUCAAAUAUUAUUUUGUAACAAUAUUUUAAUUGGAUGUGUAUUACUUUAUGCUACGUUUGUAUAUCAUUGUUAAGAAUUUAUUUUAACAACCAUAAAAUGUGGUUGUCAAAUACUUUACGCAACAAUAAUAAUAUGGUUGUUAAUACUUAGAGAUGGCAAAAAAAUACGAACCUGACAGAUUUCAACUCAACCCAAUCGGUUAGGGUCGAGUUUUUUAUUUUUGAAAUCGGGUUUGGGGUGAGAUGGGGUGGAUUUUAAUAUUAAAAUUAGUCGGGGCAAGACAGGUUCAAGUUUAGGACUAAUUUGCCAUGCCCUACCCAUAGAUAUAUACAAAAGUACCCUUGUAUCUAUAACUUUGGAUUUUUUUCAAAGGUUAAACUUUGUCAUUAGUCUUUGUACUUUGUGAAAGUUUUUUUUAAUCCAUCUACUUUAAUUUAAUUAUUUUUAGUUCUUGUACUUUUCAAAUUUUAAAAUUUCAAUCCUCUCCAAAUGAUAAACUAUUAAUUUCAUUCAAUUAAGUUAUAUUAUUUCCCAACUUUGAUGCGGGAAACAUAUUAUCAUAUGUGUAAUAUCAAGUUAGCUUUUUUUCACAUAUUACUCACUAAAAAUUAGUUAAUGGAUUAAUGAAGAUCUUUUGCGUUAAGAUUGAAAUUUCAAAAUUCGAUAAAUAUGGGGACUUAGAAUGAUCUAGUUAGAGAAUAUGGAUUAAAUCUAUAAUUGUGCGCAUAGUACAAGACUAGUAAUUGAUCAUAACCAAACAGAUUUAACUGCUACUGUUUGAGUCAAGAUUGAAAUUAAUCAAUUCAAAAAGUACAGGGACUAAUAAUAGAAUUUAACCUUUUCUCUCUUCUUUUAUUAUUUUUUCUAAUUCAUGUACUUGUUUUUCUCCUUUCUUCUUCCAUUUCUUUUUCUUAAGUCCUUUAAUUUACAGGACAUAGUUUUUUUUUUUUCAAUUCAUUCUUAAGUGAAUGGACGUAAAAUUAUCAUUCCGCAUUGAAUAAUUUCAGAGGUUUAAAAAAAAAUCCGUUUGUUACGAUAUUAUCAAGUUGUUAGACAACUCAGCUUAUUAUGUUUUAAUGAAAUGUUUAUUAUUGUUGUUCUUAUUUGUUGUUGAGAUGAAAUUGAUAUUUGAAGUUUGAUUCUAGCGGUGUUAAGAGCCGCAUCAAUUCCUUCAUGCACUAGUAAUGAAAAAUGCAGGGAAAAAAAAAUAAAGAAUGCAAGGGAUGUUUAUGUAGUUAGGUUUCCUUAGCUAGAGAAAAUAACCAUUAUCUUAGAACCUCAUACAACAAGUGUUUUCAAGCUCUAAAAUUGAUCAGUUUAGACUUUUCACUUUCAUACCUAAGACCUAAACAUCUCCCCUAAAAAACGUAAGACUCUAACCAAGUCACACACAUGAUUAUUAUAGUAUAAUUCACUCACAAAAUGUCCCUCACUAAACAAAUUAAAGUGCUCUCUCUCUCUCUCUCUCUCUCUCUCNNNNNNNNNNNNNNNNNNNNNNNNNNNNNNNNNNNNNNNNNNNNNNNNNNNNNNNNNNNNNNNNNNNNNNNNNNNNNNNNNNNNNNNNNNNNNNNNNNNNNNNNNNNNNNNNNNNNNNNNNNNNNNNNNNNNNNNNNNNNNNNNNNNNNNNNNNNNNNNNNNNNNNNNNNNNNNNNNNNNNNNNNNNNNNNNNNNNNNNNNNNNNNNNNNNNNNNNNNNNNNNNNNNNNNNNNNNNNNNNNNNNNNNNNNNNNNNNNNNNNNNNNNNNNNNNNNNNNNNNNNNNNNNNNNNNNNNNNNNNNNNNNNNNNNNNNNNNNNNNNNNNNNNNNNNNNNNNNNNNNNNNNNNNNNNNNNNNNNNNNNNNNNNNNNNNNNNNNNNNNNNNNNNNNNNNNNNNNNNNNNNNNNNNNNNNNNNNNNNNNNNNNNNNNNNNNNNNNNNNNNNNNNNNNNNNNNNNNNNNNNNNNNNNNNNNNNNNNNNNNNNNNNNNNNNNNNNNNNNNNNNNNNNNNNNNNNNNNNNNNNNNNNNNNNNNNNNNNNNNNNNNNNNNNNNNNNNNNNNNNNNNNNNNNNNNNNNNNNNNNNNNNNNNNNNNNNNNNNNNNNNNNNNNNNNNNNNNNNNNNNNNNNNNNNNNNNNNNNNNNNNNNNNNNNNNNNNAUCAUUACACAAAAUAUGACAUAACAUAAGUAAUACAUUUUCUAAGUUCAAUUUCAUUAAACAAAAUAUGUCAUAACUCAUAACAAAGGUCAUUUUCAAGUUCAAUCUAUACCCCUAAUAAAAAGGCUUGUACAAAAAGAUGCAAAAAGAGAACACUCUCCAAGUUCAAUUCAUAGCAUUAGCAUUUCCAAUCUCUUCAUCAUUGGUAAAAAUUACCAUCUUCUUGUCCAGUUUAUCAAAAGAUAAGCUAGCAACUUCAAGAACUCCAGCUCCUUCAAAUGAGUCAAAUACAUUAUCUCCAAUAUCACAUAGCUUAUCAUCUCCUUUGUAAUGAUGAGUAUUUCUUGAAAGCAAUUAAAGAUUAGUAUGCACAAAUACUAAAUCUAUGGCACGUUGAGGACUCAUCUUGUUUCUCCUCAUUGAGUGGAUAAAAGAAUAUGUGCUUCAAUUCCUCUCACAGCAAGAUGAUGAGUAAGGUUGUCCAAGAAGCUUUUAAGGUUAAAUUUUGAAGCAAAGGUAUGGAAGCCCCAUGAAUUAACCUCCAAGACUUAGGCUCUAUUCUUUAUUGCUUAAAAAAAGCACUUCUGACUCUAAAAGUACUUUUGAAAGAAAAGCUGUGCAGAACAAACUGCUUUUGCCUGAAAUUUUUAGCUUUUCAGAAAUGCUUUUCAAAAGUACUUCUGAAAAGGAGAAGCUAAAAAUUUUAGCUUUUCCUCUCUCAAAAUUACUUUUGGUGCUUAAUUAAUUACUUUUCACCCUUCCAAUAACGUAGUACUUUCCUUUUUUUUUCUUGGUGCUUAAUUACAAAUGUGUUAAAAUUAUUAAUUAAAAAUUAAAAAUAUUUUUUAAAAUACUAAUUACAAAUAUUUAAUGGUUAAUAUUUAAAUAUUUAAAAUAUAGUUUAUAUAUUCUAAUUAAAUUUUAUAGAUAAUUAAUAUUUAUUGCUUAAAAAUAUUUAAAAUUUAUAUUUCAUAUAUUAAAAUAUUAACAACAAGUUAUAAUAAUUUUUUUAUAUUCUUACUAAAAUAUAAUAAUAUUAACUAAUUUAAAUAUGAUUGAAAUGCAUAUUUAUUACUUGAUAAUAACAUGUCUAAAAUGGACAUUUUAUUUCUCAAAAGCACUUUUUGGCAGCAAUGCUAAACACUCAAAUUUUAAACCAAACUUUUCAAAAGCACUUUUCCACAGCACUUUUCAAAAACACUUUUCAAAAGCAUCGCCAAACUAGCCCUUAAGAUCCAAAAGUCAUCUAUCUUGUAGUGAAUCAAAAUUAUCAAGUGCUCUCGAAAAUCUAGCAAAUUCUUGAAAAACCAUCUUCCUUUCCUUGGUAGAAGGAAAAUAUCUUCUUCAACACUAGUUCAUUUCCUCUGAGAUUUCUACAUCCUUAUAUAGAGGAAGGCAAUUUGGUACUUCAUCAAACCAUUCACUACAAUAAUACCUAUGUAAACAAAUAUAAUCAAAUUUUAUUAAUUUAUAAUAAGUAAAAAAAAUAAAGAUAUAUUUUAUUUUAUAAUAACAAAUUAAAAUUUACCUCGGAUUCAAUGAAUGAGCCAUGCAAUAAAGUGAUGUACUACUCUUAGUCCACUAAUCAAUAAGAAUAUCAUACACCACUUCACAAAAUAUUGAUCUUUCAUCUCCUUUCUUUCCUUCAUGCUUAUAAAUGUUUGUCUUCACUUUUUCAAUCAUUUCAUCCUUCAUCUCAUAAAUUAAGUGAAGAGUUAUUAGUUUAAAAAGUUGUGUUAAUUUUACAAAAAAAAUUACUAAAAUCUGUAAUCUAUCUAUAAUCUAUAUAAAAGUAUGAUUUAUAAUUGCUCCUCGCAAUCUUUUUAGUUGAUCUAUUUUUUAAUUUCUCCUAUUAAAAUAGCCUUAAAACUUAGUACAAUAAAACUCUCUAAUUUAUAAUUAAAGGGAUUACUUGAUUAUAAGAUUUUAAAAAAAAAUUGACCCCUACUCUUUAUUGGGCCAAUAUUGUUAUUUAUUAAUAAAAAAUAUAAAUUUAUAAUUUUUCUUAUAAUUUUAUAAUUUUUAAAUUUUAAAAAGGCUUACUUGAUUUUUAAAUUUUUUUUUCCUAAUGCCUUUUUGACCCUUUAGCUUUAUUAAUUUCAAAAUUUUUUAACUUACUUCAAAUAAAAGAGUAGGGUCAAAUUGAAUAAAUAUAUAAAGGUUGAGAGUUAAAUUUGUUAUUAUAUCUUGUACAUAAACUCCAAAUUUUAAUUUGAAUCUAAUUUAUGGUAACUAAUUUAUCUAUUUUUUAAUAAAAAUUAAAAUAUAGUAAAAAAAUUUUGUGAUACUUUUACCUAUAUCAUAUUAAUAGAUAAAACGAAAUAAUUAACAAAAUGGUUAAUGGUGAAAAUUUCUAAUUGAGUAAAAAAGAAAGCACUAAUAAUUUAUUGAUUUUAAUGAAGGGGGUCUCAUUUAUAGAAACGUGUCUUUUUCCCCUCCCCCGCUCAACAUUCAAUUAAUUUUAAUUAUAUUAUCCUUAAUCUUCACUCUACUCUUUUAAAAUAUAUAGCGAUUCUCACUUUAAAAUUCGUAAUUAGUGUUUACCUCUUUAAUGAUCUAUAAAACAUAAAAGAUUAGUUAUUAGACUCGUUCUAAUGAAUAUAUUUGGGAAAUCAAAAAUAGUAAACUAAGGGUGAGUUUGAAUAAGCGGUGCAUUUACUUGCAAUUAGUGUUAAAAUAACAGUAACAGUGAGAUUAAAUAUUAUAACAAUACUGUAACGUGAAAUAAGAAGUUAUUGGAAAAUUAUUCCAUACAUUAUCUAUAGAAAUUAUUAAAUUUUACAAGUGAAUUGAGGAUUUGACAAAUAUAUAAUUUAAAAUAUAUAUAAAUAAAUAAAUCAAAAGUCUUCCAAAACCUGAGUUGGCACCAAAAUAGUAGCAUUGGAGACAUCAAAAACAUCCACAAUUAAUGGAAAGACCAACAACAAAAAACCAAAUUGACCAAACAAUAUAUCUCCACCACUAAAACAACCUUGCCUACAACUAGGGGUGAGCAAAACUCGAUUCGACUCAAAAAAAUCGAAAAAAAAUUCAAAUUUCGAGUUAAACGAAUCGAGUUAUUCGAAUCAACUCGAAUUUUUUUUUUCAAAUUUCGAGUUGAGUUUUCGAAUUUGAAUAACUCGAAUAAUUUGAAUAAUUCGAAUAUCAAACUAUAAUAUUUUACAUUUUUACCCCAAACUUCCAAACCUUUCCCUCAAAACUUUUACUCCUUCGCACUUUCCCCCCAAAACUUUUACUCCCCUCCCUCCAACCUCAAAACUUUUACUCCNNNNNNNNNNNNNNNNNNNNNNNNNNNNNNNNNNNNNNNNNNNNNNNNNNNNNNNNNNNNNNNNNNNNNNNNNNNNNNNNNNNNNNNNNNNNNNNNNNNNAUCCAUUUCCCACCAAAAUUUUACUCUCCCAUUUACUUUUUCUCAAAAUUUUACUCCCAAAAACCCUCAAAACCUUUUAUUUUCCCCCAAAAUUUUUACUCCCUCCCACUUUUCCCCGAAAACUUUUAUUCCCUUCCCAUCUCACCUCCCAUCUACCCCAAACCCUCCCCCCUCCAAUUUUUUUUAAUAUUUUCCUUCCAAAAUUUUACUCCCCCUACUUACUUUCCCUCAAACUUUUAUUCCCCAAAACUUUUUAUUUUCCCCCUAAACUUUUACUUCUCAUCCUUUACUCUCAAAUAAAAAAUCAAAAUUAUCUAAAAAAAUCACUAAACAUAAAUAGUAAUAAUUGUAUUUAUAUCUACUAUUUAUAUUAUUAAAAUAAAUUUCACAUUUUAUAUUAUUUAUAUUAUUGAAUUGUUUAGUUAUAUUGAAUAUUUAUAUUAAAAUUGAAUUAUUAAUUAUGCCAUAAAAUAUUCGUGUUAAAAUUUUAUAUUGGUAUCAAUUUCACAUUUUAUUUUUAAAAUAACUUUUAUUAAAAAAAAUCAUAUUUUUACAUUUAAUAUAUUUUAUAAUUCCAAAAUACAUAGUGACAAGAAUAUGAAGAUAAUUGAAACAACUAAGCAAGCAAAGAAGCUAACCAGUAUAUAAAAAAUUAAUAAAUAACUUAUGAGGUGAUGAAAGUUAAUAAAAAAUUUGAUUAAUGUGGACAAAUUUUAUUAAGAUGGGUGACAGCGGUUAUAAGGACCCAAAAUUAUUUUUUAAAAUUUAACUCGAACAAAUAUAUUCGAUUCGAUUCGAUUCAAAUUCCAUCUCACUCGACUCGAUUCGAGAAAACUUCAAAUAAAGUUAGGAUGAUAAAAUGAGAUUUGAAAACUCGGUUAACUAGAAAAUUUUUUAUUCGAUUCGAUCGAAUGCUCACCCCUACUUAUAACCAUGGAUAAAGCCAUCCCUCAAAGUUGAACUGCACCAAUAAUCCAAAACUGUCGCAGAGAUCCAACACCGAGAUUCAAAUCAACCAAGUAAAAAUCACAAUCCAAAAUUCAACGGAGAACAACCAAAAUAACACCACACACUCAAUUGAACCAAAUACAAAGAACACUCCAAACUUCAAUAUCCACAUUCUCUCCUCCAAUCCAAGAAAUACCCACCACAAACUCUGAUCCAAAAGCGAUGCACAAUACACAAAAGAACAAUAAAUAACUCUUAUCUUCAUCACUCAUAAAAACAUGGAACCUCAACAAAACUUAAAAUCAUAUCUCCGCUAAAGAAUGGAUCAUAGUUUUAGAUAGAGUCAUCCUUACGAACGUAACAACUUCACUUCACGAAACAUGAAAACGCAUCUUAUAGCUUUAAAGUUUACCAGUUAAUCUAUCCAUCUCAAGUUGAACUAAAUCAUUGAUAACUUCCUCAUCAUAAUUUCUGUCUUCCCUAAGACCUAACAUUUUACCUAAUUCCCAAGUUUCUAUGGCCUCUUUCAAAAUUACUUUCUUACCAUUCUUGAAAUCAGAAACCGAAAGCGAUUUAAUGGCAAAUAUCUUUAACGAUGUUGUACAAGCCAAAAUCUAGAAUGACCCUUUUUCUAAACUGGUGAUAUCAUCGUUAAAGGGCUCAACAAUGUAGUUCGUCCCAUCCUUGUAAGUUCUCACUUCUUCAACCAUCAUGUAAUAUCUCUCAUUGAGCUCAUUAGGAUCAUAUCCAUAUCCUUUUCUUUUGUAGAGCCCAAAAUCAAAUUAUUACCUAAUUAAUUGAUGGAGGACGGACUCUUUUUGGAGACGUUUUUAAAAUGUCCUUCGUCAGACAGUCAGAUUCGGUUCACUGACAAUUAAUGGUAUUGUUUCUGAAAGAGGGUUUCGUCUCCUGUGCUUUGUCGAGAGUCAGCAUGCCACAAGUGAUUGCCCUAAAGGCUUAGUUUACAAAGCUCAAGUGGUACCAUAUGCCCUAACAAAUGACCUAUAUAACAUAGGUGAGGAGUUCAAACCCCACCCAAGACGAACUGCUCAUGUUGCUUCUCUUUCUAUCUGUCUUCCUCUCAUUUUCUUAACCGUGUCAUUUUGAUGUAUUAUUUGGAUGUGUUUUGCCUUGAUCUAUUUUGUUGUGUUCCUGUGAUGUUAAUACAUAGAUUUUAAGGUUUUAAGCGCAACAUAAAUAUUGUGAUUAGUAAUUUGAGUAAGGAAUACUUACAACAAACGGAACAGCCAAAAAAAAAAAAAAUGAAAGACUUAGCCCCAACUGAUUUGAUGAAACUCUGAUUGCUUCAACGGUCCAUACAUCUAGCAUUAGCCAAGCACACCAUGAUUAAGUUUUUAAUUUAAAUUUGAUUCUAAUAUAUAUAUAUAUAUAAAUUAAAAAAAUAAAAUAUUAAAAUGAUAUAUAAAAAAUCUAAAAAAAAUUAAAAUUAUAUUGUGCGAUUGUUGAAACCGUCGAAAAUAAAUUCCUACUCAAAAAUAAUUUUACAAAUAGCAGUGAAUAGGAUCAAAUCCAUAGAAAUUGGUGAUUCUGUGUUUAAUCAAUAAAAAUAAAAAUGAUGGGAGAUUUUUAUAAAACUAAAAUAAAACUAGAACUAAACAAAAUUAAAUUUCAAACCUAGUAAAAAAACCAAUAAUCAAAAGUUGGAGAGAAAAUCAAUAAGGUGAAACUUUGGCCAAAGGUAAAAUCCUGGUUUGAUUCAUGAAUUUUAUCAUUGAAGAAAGCAUGAUUUUCAGUGUGCUUUAAUAAAUUGAUUAUAGUUUCCAAUAAUCAUCUAGCAACUAAUUUUUUUUUACUUUUUUAAUAAUUUAGAAAACCGUAAUUAAUUAAUUGAUUAACCAAUACUAACACUACAAACAUUAGUUGAUGGACUAACGCUUUCACUACCACUAGCACUUUGAGAAGAAGUCGCGGUUAAAAACUUAAAAUAUUAACAAAAAUGAAAAAGAAAAAUCAAUUUAUGCUUCAAAGUAACAUGAAAUUAUUUAACUAUAUAACACUAUAAAAAUAUAUAAUAAAAUAAAAAUAACCCAUUCAAAAACAUAAAAGAAAUGCUAAACAUACCUACUUUGGAGCCUUGAAAUUAAGUUAUGACGGAAAUUUUGAAGUUGUUUAAAGCGUCAUUUAAAUAUUACAAUUUUUUUAAAUAUUUAUAAAUUAUAUUGAGAUAAUAAUUUAAUUUCAUUUAUUCAAAAUUAUGUUAUUAAUCCAAAUAAUGUAUUGAGGUAACAUUUGGUAUUGGUUAAAUUAACCUAGCGAGGUAACAUUUAAUAAUUCACUUGGUGUUGAUGUUGUGAGAUAAUAAUUUUAUUCAUUCAUAAUCAUGUUACUAUAAUCCAAUUGAUAUACUAACAUUACAUUUACUAGUGGUUGAAUUAAUCCAAUUGAUGUAAUGAUGAUUUAGGGUUUGGUAAUCCAAUUGCUAUAGUGAGAUAUAAAAAUCCAUUUGAUGUAAUGAGAUCGUAAUUUAAUUUAAUCACUUUGUUAUUGGUUGAAUUAAUCUAUUUAAUGUAGUAAAUGCUAUUGGUUGAAUUAAUUUAGUUGAUGUAGUGGGGUAACAUUUGCUAUGACUUGAUUGAAUUCAAAUGACAUAAUAAGGUGGUUUGUCAUUCCAAUUGGUGUAGUAAGAUAUUUAAUAAUUUAAUUGCUGAUAAUUUACUUUCAUUUAUUCACAAUCAUAUUAUUAAAAUAUCAUAAUCUAAUUUAAUCUUAAUUAAUUAAAAUAUUUUGAGCUAACGUUCGUAUAAAUCAAAUGUUAUUAUUUGUGGGUAAAUUACACUCAUGGUCACUUUUGUUUACUUCAGGUUACGUUUUAGUCACUUAUGUUUGAAAUGUUACGUUUUAGUCACUUAUGUUAUCGUGUUGUAACAUUUUAGUCAUUGAGCCAUUAAUUGUCGUUAACAGUAUAACGGUAAGCUAAUGUGGCGCAUUAAAUCAUCAUUUCAAACAAAAAAAAUUAGGUUAAAUUAUACAAUUGGUCCCCAUAAUUUUUUUCAUUUUGAGCAAUUUAAUUUUUUCUUUUAUGUUCUUUUAACUUUUUUUUUCAUUAAUUUCCAUUCUCUUCUGCUUCUCCCUCUAUUUUCCUACCUUCUCCAUUUCUUUCAACAUAUCAGGAAGUCGAAUUGGCAGUGAAGAAAAAAGCAUGGUAUGGGUUUAUGGGUUUUGGUUAUAGGCAAUUAUGGUUUUCGACUUAUUUCUUCACUGCCAAUUCGGCUUCUUGAUAUGUUAAAAGAAAUGGAGAAGGUAAGAAAAUAGAGGGAGAAACAAAAGAUAAUGGAAAAUAAAGAAAAAAAAUUAAAGAACAUAAAAAAUUUAUAUUGCUCAAAAUGAAAAAAUAUGGGGAUCGAUUGUAUAAUUUAUCCUAAAAUUUUUGUUUGAAAUGAUGAUUUAACGUGCCACGUCAACUUAUCGUUACACUGUUAGCGACAAUUAAUAGCUCGGUGACUAAAAUGUUACAACACGAUAACAUAAAUGACAAAAACGUAACAUUUCAAACAUAAGUGACUAAAAUGUAACCUAAGGUAAACAAAAGUGACCAUGGGUGUAGUUUAUCCUAUUAUUUGUAUUAAUAGUUACGUAUUUAUUGAUAAAAAAGUUAUGUAAUUUAAUCUAAAAAUUAUUAUUUUUACUUAUAUGAUUGAUGUAAUUAACUAAUAAUUUGGAUAAAUAUUAUGAGUUUAUAUGAAUUAAAUGUUAUUCGUCUAAUCUCUUUCUUUAUUUGGCGUAUCCCGUGCGUAUCUACAAACAUAUGUCUAUAUUGGAUACUUGUGCGACACCGCUAUGAUGAUUAUUUCGCUGUAUCGGUGCUUUAUAGUUUACAAGUUUAGAUCGACACGAACAAAUUUUCAUACUCGAAGCACGUUUUGACAGCUCUUAAAACAACGUCAAAGAAAAAUACUGAUAAAUGAAAAAUGUGCUUCUUCUCUGCCUAUAGUGUUGCCUGUGUCAAUAGUAACUGGGUUGCCAUGUAACUCACCAUGUUGAAAUAUACAUGUGCUACUACAGAAUUGCCAUGUGAUGUUUCUGCAGUUCCAAUUGGGCUGUCAUGUGAUGUUCAAAUACACAUGUGCUACAAUCUGGAGUUGACUUAAAUUUUAGUGGGGCCCAUCGUUCUCCUAGUAAUAUUUUAUAUGUUGAGAAUUCAAGUGGUUGACGUGAUGAAGAAAGGCAAAAUAUAUGCCGUGAUUCACUCCAGAAAGCAAGUGCAUCUGAUAAAUCGCAAUUGCCAGUUGAUGACUAAUAGCUAUGCCUUCCCAUCCCAUUCUUACAAACAGGGCUCAAAAAGGGAUUUUUAAAUCCACUUUGUUCUUCUUCGAUUCAUCACAUGUUGUAUAGAUAUAUGUUGUCCAUUGUCAAACUAAUGUUUGCAAAUUAGUUUUUUUUUAUAAAUAAUUAUAUUAUUUUUAAAAGAUAAUACUGUUUUUUUUUUUUUUACUUUUCACUUUAUAUAAUUGUGGAAUAAUCAAAUUCAAUAUUAGUGUAAAAUCUGUCAAUGCAUUACCAUAAAUAUAAAGUUCAAUUGAAAAAAUUUGGGAUUGGAAUAAUAAAUUUAUUUUGAAAGUCAUAUAAUAAUUGGAGGAUUCCAUUAAAGAAUUGUCUACGCGAAUGAUUAAUGGAGAUGGGAAAUAAAAAUAUAUGGAAGUUAUACAACUUUACAGUUAAAGGUCAAAUUUUGCUACUAGUCCAUGUAUUAUGUGUCUAUUAAAUUUCUUAAGUUAAACUAUUUUAUUUUCAAAAUCUUUUACAAUAAAAUAUUAUUACAUAAAUAAUAACUUAUUAGCUGAUAUUUCCAAAUAAUACUAAAAAAAUCAUGGUAUUUAAGAAAAUGAAUUUAACAAUCAUAGUUUGAAUCAAGAUUAAAAUUUCAAAUUUAAAAGUAUAUUGAUUAAAAAGAAUCAAAUUAGAGAAUAAAGACUUAAUUCACAACCUAUGCAUAGUACAAUAUUAAUAGAAAUUUUUUAUCUAACAUAUUUAACCAGUACCGUUUGACCAAAUUGACCUAAAGUCUCAAAAUUUGAAAAGUACAAUACUAAAAUUGACCAAAUUAGAAGGAUUAAAUCCACAAAUUUCUCAAAAUAUAUGGACUAGUAGCACAAUAUGACCUAAAUAAAAUUACUCAGUCUUCCUCCAACUUGGUUUCCAGUUAAAUAGGACUGGCUGUUGCUACUUCUUUCUACACUUCACAAUAAAGUCUUUCUUUUUUCUUUUCACGCUCGCUAGAAUUGAAAUUAUAGAAAGAUUACAUUUUGAGAAAUUAAUUUUCAGAACAAUCUAUGGAUUUCUCUGCUGUGUCUUAUGCUCUCGAAACAAUCGACAAGUUAACACAAGAAGUUACAUCCUUGUGGGGCGUCGAUGAACAAGUUGAGGGCUUAGCAAGUGAGCUGAGAUGGAUGCAAAGCUUCUUGAAAGUGGCAGACGCAAGAAGAGUUGAUCAUGAGGUGAUACGUACCACCGUUGUUGAGAUCAGAGAGUUGGCCUACGAUGCUGAAGAUGUGAUCGAGACGUUUUCCCUCAAAGUUGCUUCCAAAAGGAAAGGUGGAUUUUCAAAUUCCAUCAAAAGAUCCGCUUGUUUCCUCAAGGAGGGAUGUCUGCUCCACCAGAUCAAGUCAGAGAUAGAGAAAAUCACAGCCAGAAUCAAAGUAUUGACUCGACAAAUGAAGACGUAUGAUGUAUCAAAGUUAGGUGUUGAUGGAGAAGGACCAAGUUCUUCAACUGAAAGGCGGGAGGCAAGGCGGCCUUAUCCUCAUGUUAUGGAUGAUAACAUUGUUGGAUUGGGUAAGGGUAUUGAGAAACUGGUCUCAGUUCUUGUCGAUGAGGAAAGCGAAUGCAAGGUUCUCUCCAUAUGUGGCAUGGGUGGUCUGGGGAAGACCACUCUUGCCAAGAAAAUAUAUAGUCAAAGCAAAGUUGUUGGUCAUUUCAAACACUUGGCUUGGGCAUACGUUUCUCAAAACUGUCAAAAAAGAAAAGUAUGGGAAGACAUUUUAUCUGAUUUUAACCUCUUAAGUGAAGCUGACAAGAAGAUGAAGGUUGAAAAAUUAUCGGAGAAGUUAUCUAGUUUCUUGGAGGAAAUAAAUGUUUGGUGGAACUCGAUGAUAUUUGGAACACCGAGUCUUGGGAUAGCUUAAAACCAGC
rnacentral:lncRNA from 1 species